AAACGGAAGCGGGUACGUGGAAGCGGAAGCGUAAGGAAGCGCAGAAGCGAGAUUUUUUAAAAUAUUAGGAAGCGGGUACGUAUUGGAAGCGUAUAUCCAUAUAUAAAUAAAUAUAUAUAUAUGCAAAAUUUUUAAAAAAUUAGGACUAAAAAUUAUAUGAUUUAAAUUUGAAAUAAAACAUUUAUUCAUUUAUAAUAAUUUUGAAAUGAUUUUAUAUUAAAACUGUAAAAAUACACAUAAAUUAUGUUUACAAAAAAUAUUAUAUUAAUUAUUUUUAAUACUUCAUAAAUAAUUGACACUAUGUUUCAAUAUGUGCUAUAUCUUUAAUAAAAAAUCUCAAUGCAUAAAGAUAAUUUAUAGUAUUAUUUUUGAUAUUUGUAUAUUUAUAACUCAAUAUUCAUUACUAUUAAUUUUUUUUAUUUUAUAUAGAUUAAAACUAUGGUUUUAUAUUUUAUUGAUAUACAUUGUAUUUUUUUUUUAAAACGGAAGCGUGAUUCCAAAACGGAAUCAUAAGCUUCCAACAGGUUUUUAAAGAGAAUAUUUUAGAAACGUUUUGGAAGCGAGAUUCCGCAAGCUUCCACGAGGUUCCGAUUCCGAUUCCGGUUCCGAAGCGGGAAGCGGACGUCCGAUGAAGCUUCCGUGCAACGUACUUUUAUAUAAUAAGAUUUUUAUUUACCUUUGUUUUCUGGAUUAGAAUCAUGUUAUUUAGCAAAUUGAGUCCAAUCAAACCGUUGACAAAAAAAAAAGAGUCCAAUCAAACCGGUCCUUUUUUUUAAGAGAUUAGAAGCAAACGAACUCACUCUCCCUUCACUGACAAGCCUCACCGGAGCAAAGUGAAAGACGCUAAUGACACUCUGUUCUUCAUCUUCGUCUUCUCAGAAGACAUGGAUUGUUCACGGGAUCUUGGCCGGAAUGGCGAUUGCUGCGGCGAUAGGCGCACGUGCGUAUCUGGGUCGAUCCAGGAAAUUCCGGAGCCGGGUCGUGGGAAUCAUCCCCGCCCGUUACGCUUCCUCUCGAUUCGAGGGAAAGCCCCUCGUGCAAAUCCUCGGCAAACCCAUGAUCCAGGUUCCUCCUGUAUCCAGUAUCUCUGCCUAUAUCUAAAGUAACCACCUUUACGAGUUUUGUUACCUUCUCAAUCUAUAAGUGUUUCCAUAUUUUUUUCUCAAAACAGAGAACUUGGGAGAGGUCUAAGUUAGCCUCUACGCUUGAUCACGUUGGUAAUGUAGCUCACAUCUCUUAAAAAGAUGUCUACUUUAUGGAUCUGACAUCUCUUCUAUGAUCAGUCGUGGCCACCGAUGACGAAAGGAUCGCGGAUUGCUGUCGUGGAUUCGGUGCUGAUGUCAUCAUGACAUCAGAGUCUUGCAGAAACGGUCUGCACACACCAUUUUCUUCAGUCCCCUGUUUGUUUUCUUUGGCUUAAGCUAUGUAUCAUCAUCUGGUGGUUCCCUAGGUACUGAGCGGUGCAACGAAGCUCUAGAGAAGCUGGAGAAGGAGUAUGAUGUGGUUGUUAACAUUCAAGGCGAUGAACCACUCAUUGAGCCUGAGAUUAUUGACGGUGUUGUCAAAGCACUUCAGGUUUCACCUGACGCAGUGUUUAGCACAGCGGUGACGUCACUGAAACCAGAAGACGGGCUUGAUCCUAACCGAGUCAAAUGUGUUGUGGACAACCGUGGCUAUGCUAUCUAUUUCUCAAGAGGCUUGAUUCCUUUUAACAAGUAGUCUCUUAUGUUUUUGUCUUCUGUGUGUUGUUACCUUUAUAGUGUUCCUGUGGUUGUGUAUUUAUCAUACGCUAUGUAACUAGUAAUCACUUACGUUUUCUGCGGUCUUAGGAGUGGUGGAGUCAAUCCAGAGUUCCCGUAUAUGCUUCAUCUUGGUAUUCAGGUACUGAGUGAGCAGCCAGUUUCUCAUAUUCUAUAUGUAUUAUGAUCUAAAUCUCUAUAUCUUUAUCUCAGAGCUUUGAUUCCAAGUUUCUGAAUGUAUAUUCGGAGCUUCAACCAACGCCAUUGCAGGUAGAAGAGGAUCUAGAGCAGCUCAAAGUUCUUGAGAAUGGCUACAAAAUGAAGGUAAAACAGAUGAUGUAUCAUCCCAAAGAAUGGAUUCUAUGCUCCUGAGAGACUUGUAAGUCAAGGCAUUGAUGUUUGGUUGUCACACAGGUUAUAAAGGUGGACCAUGAAGCCCAUGGAGUUGAUACACCUGAAGAUGUUGAAAAGAUUGAAUCUUUAAUGCGUGAAAGAAACCUCUCAUAGUCCUCAAAAAUACACAUCUUGCUUUCACAUGAACUCCUUUCCUUGUUUUAUGAUAUGGUUCUUCCCUGUUUUUUACUCUGUAAUUCAACGAGUUAACUUACACAUAUCUUUUUUAAGCUAAUGUAAUACUACUGGUAGAUAUAAAUAAUAGGAAAGAAAUGUGGAAGCUUGUGUUUGGUACAUCCAAGAAAAGAUAAGGAUUAAGGACUAAGGACUGUGAGAACAUGGUGAUAUUUAUAUAGCCAAUGACCUAAUUAGGAGAACGUGCUAAAUGCCUCGAAAUAGCUGUCUCCUUUGUGUGAGAGAGAUCUGAGAUCCAAAGAUGCUGGGCUUUUGUAAACCAGCAAGAGCACAAGUCACCCUUACAGAAAGAGGAGAGGAUGAGUAAUGGAGAAAACUAGGGUUUUGGUAGUAACGGUAAUGUGAUUUGUAUAUUUAGGGUUUAAUAGUGUUGGGAUGUGCUCAGAGUCAGAUGCCUUGAUCAAGACGUAUGUGUCUAAUGAGUUGCUUGAUUCAGUUAAUCUCAAAGGUAUAUUACAGAUAUAUAUAUAUAUAUAUAUAUAUAUAUAUAUAUAUGUAUCUGGAUUUAAUGUGUUAACUCUCUGUUUGUUUGCAUCCAUUGUGUUAUAGUCCCCUAGACGACUGGGAUUCACUCGUGUUGGAGUCCAAAGUCACGGUGAUGUUUAUGUUCACAGCUACGUGGUGCGGAUCAUGUGGUGAGAUGAGCCUCAUAUUAGACUAACUGGACUCAGAAUAUAGAGGGAGCUUCAAGUUCUACAUAGCCGAUGUUAUCAAGGAUCAAUUCAUCGCAGAUCAAUACAGUGUACGGGAUCUUCCGACCACCAUUAUCUUCAAAGAUGGAGAAAAUAUAGCUUCUUCCAUCGGACCUCUUUCAGCGAAGAGAUUGAAAUCACUCGUCGAGAAAAUAUAGCUUCUUCCACCUGUAACUCUUUGGACUUGGCUCGAGUCUCUUUAUUUGUGUUUGACUGUCAUGUGUCUUUUAAGUUAUUACUUUUUUUUCUGACUUUUUAUUACUUAUUUCUCCAAAUCUAUAUUAUAUAAAAAGGAAAAAAAUGAUCGCUUUACUAAACUAAUGUAUGCCUAACCACGAAAUAUAUGUUAUAUAUGUUAUGCAUGACAACAUCCUUCAACUUUAUGAUGUUAUGUAGUUAACAUCACGAGUUUAAUUUUAUUCAUCUAAAAACUGAAGUGAAUGUUAUUAUAUUAGAGAUCGUCAGGGUUUUGAAAACCGAACCGGCCGGUCGGACUGGUCCAACUGUGAAUCGUUAAGUAAACCAAAUACGGGUUGAGUUAAAACUCGGAUUUGAACUAAACCGCCAAAACCGGUUAAAAACCGGCUAAACCGGUUAAAAACCGGCUAAACCGGUGACUCUGGUCAGUGAAAAAAACCGGUUCAACAAAUACUUAACGUAAUUUCAUUAGUUUUGAAAUAGAAAUGGUAACUUCUUAACUGAUUCAAGAUUCUUAGUGUUUCGUUUGAAAACCAUAAUAAUUUCUUUCCCUUUUCAAGAUUCGUAGUACAUUUGUUUCCUUCUUUUCGUUAUACACUAGUGGUGUUUCCGCGCUUCGCAGCACAAUGUGUAGUAUAGACUUUACACAAGUGGGCUUCUUAAAACACUCAAGUGACUCAUCCAAACAGGUAAUACCGGGAUAUGAGAUGAUUUAUAAAAUAUUAAAAUCUCAUAUUUCGAAGCAUGGACUUGGGUGAGAGUAUAAUCCCAAUCUUGGUCGUUCAACAGUAGCUGUAACUUCUUUUUAAAACUGAUUUUCAUAUUAAAAAGGAAACAAAGAUACAAAUAUAUGAAAAUUUAAAAACAGAGAAGAAAGCUACAGAGGGAACAAAAAAAAAAAAGCUACAGAGGGAGAUACUUUAGAAGAACGAAGGAAGGAGGUCACAAAGAUUCAGAAAUUCUAAAAAUUGGACACUCGAAACAGUGUGAGGUAUUAAGCUAGAUACCUGACCAAAGAGAGACGGUAUCAUCACCAAAUCUACACUCUAGAUUUCUAAGGGCAGUUGAUUUGUUUUUGAUCAUGCGUACAAUCAGUAGCGGCCCUGAGCAGAAGCCAUGGAAGCAUGUGCUUCCGGCCCAGUUUGUAAUAUCUAAUAUUUCGGCCUAUAAUUUUGCAAAAUGUCUAGUAGCAUAGUUGGUUAGAGGUUUGUAAUAUGCACUAGGAAGGUGGAAGGUUUGAUAUACAUUAGAAGUAGGUUUUUUUGGUGUUUAACUGUUAACUAGAUUUUGAUCCGCGCUUUCAAAGCGCGGGAUUAUUUUCGAAACAUUCCAAAUUUAUUUGAUAUAAAUUUAUAUUUUAAUUGUAUCUACACUUAGAUAUUACGAAUGAAACAUUAUAUUCAAUGUUUUGAAACCCGAUCCGAUCCGCAGUUAAAUUGCCAAAUUCGGUAGUUCAUAAGUAAUCCAUUUUAGUUUUAAAAAAACUGUUAUUUAAAAAUUCUAUAAAACCCGUAACAACCGCUAAAACCCGAGAUCUGGUUAUCGGUUGAACUGAUAGAUGACCCAAUAUGUAAUCCGGUUUGAUUUAUUAUUAUAUUUUGAGUAUUGUAAUAUAUAUUCAUGAACGUUCAGAAGAAUAGUGAAUAUAUUAUGAAAUUGAUAUUCCAAUUUUAAUACAAUUUUAGUCAAACUAAAAUUCCAUCUUGUUAAUGGAUUAAUAUUUGAGUGGAUGCAUAUUAAAAAUAAAAUAUAUUUGAGCAUCAAUAAUGUGUAUACGUCUAUUACAAAUUAAUGAUUUACGUUUUCAAAAAAAAGUAUAAUUGUUUAUUUAGUUAUUAGAUACUUUUUGAUGUUUUGUCUAUGGCUUAUUUUAAAUUUAAAAUUUAAUUUCAUUAUUCGCAUUAGAAAUGUAAAUAUUUAUAAUUUUAAUUUUGAUAUAUAUUUUAAUAUAUUUAGUUCUUAAUUUUUUUAUAAUUUAUAUAUAUAAUUUUAUUUUUAAACAAUUAAAAUAUUGACUCUUACUCUCUGGCUUCGAUUUAUGUUAAUGUAAUGUUUUAUGAUAUAUUUGUGUUAAUAUAUUUGUUCAAUUAGUAUAUAUUUGAUAUAUAUAUUUUAUGUCUGUUUGAGUAAUCCGUAAAAAAUAUAUUCAUAAAACUAUCAAUAGUAACAUGUUUCAUCAUAUAAUUACUGUUAAUAUUUAUUUUAUAAUAUGUAUUUAUAUAUAUUUUAGUACUCUACUAUAAGAAUUAUAUUUUUAUGUAUUUGGAGAGGGUUUUGAACAAUUUUUUUUUUUUUUGCAUUUGGAUUAAUAUAUAGUUGUAUAUAUACGAAUGAAUAUAUAUAUAUAUAUAUAUAAUUAUUUAUUACAUUAAUAACUAAAACAUAAUUGAUUAGUUAUUUGAAUUUUGAAUUAAUAUAAAUUAAAUUCAUUAGUUUAAAAAAUAAUAGAUUAGUUAGUUAGUUCCUUAAUUUUAGGUAUAAUGUAUAUUUAACAAUUAAAUUAGAUAUGAGUAGAAUAAUAGAAAAUGUAAUUAAAUAUAAUUGUCCAACCUAGACUAUUUGUAAGUAGAUAAAAAUUGCUUCUGUUUUAAUAGUAUUGAUUUAUAAGCCCAUAACUGUAUUUUGCUUCCAGCCUGAUUUUUUUCUGGGCCGGGCCUGCGUACAAUGAUGCUCAGAAUUGUUGCUUCGUCCCUAGAGAGACCAAUAUUGAAGCGUCUAUUUCUUUCCAUCCGUAAACCAUAAAUGGUACCAUGCCAAAGUUGAAUCAGAGCUCUAGAGGAAACAGGGGAGGGAAGCAGUAGGUAACCACCGGAAUAUUAAAUCCCAGUCACGUGGAGUUGAGAGAAGUUUAACUUCAACAGAGCACAGCUCCAGAAUGUGGAAGAGAAGGAUAACCUGAAAAAAAAAAUGGUCUCUUGAUUCAGGUUGAGCCACACAGAGCAGACAAGUAGUUUCAACAUCUAAACCUCAUAUUUGGAGACGAUCCAGAGUGGGAUUUCGAUCAAGAACGAACAGCCAGACCGAAGUAGAGUGUUUCGGGACACUUCAUUCAAACCAACGAAGCACAAGAAACCAGUGGUUUAGUAAUUCUUGCUUCAUUCCAUUAAAACCCAUAUUAACAUGACAAAUUCAUCCAAACAAACCAAUACUUUCAAGACUAAUAACCUCCAAAAGCCUCUGGUGCUUGCGGAUGCUUGCAUUUGUCAGGAUGAACCAUCAUAUAUGAGUCUGAUAAACAUUCAACUGAGUCUUUUUCGAAAAAAAUCUAAUUCAAAUCAGUCACAAAAUUUUCAGUGUAUUCUCAAUUAGUGGCAUAGUAACUAAAAUCACCAGAAGAAACCAUGAAUUAGUAAAAUUAAAAUGUCUUCACAGUGUGACAAAACUGAAGAAUACUUUUGUGUACUGCCGUUUAAAAAUAGGUUAAGAUGCUCAAACGGGUUCAGCUUGAAGCAUGAGAGAAUCCUACAAAUUUGGAACUUUUAAGACAUGAUCAUCAGAAACAUGGCUGCAACAAGACGAUGAUACCGGUAACAAUUCUAACAGUAAAGAUAAGUCAUUUACUAUUAUACAUGGAAGAUAUAUGAAAAUUAUCCACAUCCAUACCAGAAACUAAUCAUAUUUGAUCAGAUCUACACGAGAUCUCCUUAAGCUACGGUACUCUCAAGAGCUAAACAUAGAUGCUUGAAAAUAAUUAAAAACCAUAGAUGCUUGAAGUUGGAGCAAUGGUAUGACCCGCUAAAUAUCCCACAAAUCUGAAACUCCGACCCAGAUCCAACCAGCUAAACCAAUCUCAUUCAGCAACGGAGUCAUCAAACGCCGCCACCACAUCCACCACCACUCAACCACCGUCACUACAGAACCGCGCAGCUUCGAUUGGAGGUCACGCGCUCGACGUUUGCAGCGAAUUCAUGCCGUCUCCUACCUUCACAUCCUCUGAUCCAACUUCCCUCAGGUGUGCUGCGUGCGGUUGCCACCAUAACUUCUACCGCCGUUACCCAGACGAUUCCUAACUCACUUCCGCCGUGGCUCCACCGUCUCUCCUUACAUCUUCCACCACCGCUGAAACAUAGUACCAGCCUCACACCAUCAAUUGAUAUACCUUGCUUCCCAGAACCUCAGAAGGCGGAUCUAGGCGGAGUUUAAAACUAUAUAAUUGUAUUAUUUUUAUUUUUAUUAAUCUGUUUUGUUAUACACUUUUAAUAAGUAGUGUUUUAACAUUUUUAUUUUAGUGUUUUAACAUUUAAAUUUUAGUGUAUUUUAAAACUAUAUAAUUGUAUUAUUUUUAUUUUUAUUAAUAUUUUUUGUUUAUUUUUAAUUAUUUUAAUCUGUUUUGUUAUGAACUUUUAAUAAAAAAAAAUAGUUCGUUUGAUUAAUUGUAUAUAUAUACUUCUUUGAUAAUUUUUUUAAUUAUAAAACUUAUUUGCUGUCAAUUUACUGACUCUAGUAUUUUAUUUGCUUAAAAAUUAUAUGACGCUAACUUAAACCAAACAUAAUCUUGCGUAUAUAAUUAUAAAUUACAUACUUUUAAGAAUAAAAAUAAUCAAAGAAUAAGAAUCUAAUGUGAAAGUUUUACUAAGUUUAAAUGAAUGUAAUUUUUGUUUAUGAAAAAAUAUAAAAAAUAAUUCAUUAACUUAAUAAUUUUGUAUUAAGCAAAUAAAAUGUUAAGAGUCAAUAAAGUGACAUCAAUGAAGUUUUAUAAUAUUUGUUUUUAUCAAAUAAGUAUAUAUCACACAAUUAAUCAAACAAAUUACAUAAUUUUAAUUAAAAGUUAGAUUUUUAUUAAAAGUUAAAUUUUGCAAAUUAGAUUUUGUAAAUUAGAUUCUUACGCUUUAAAACAUGGGCCAAAAUCUAAUUUAGGUAAAUUACCCUUAGAUACGUCACAUUUUAAUUGAUAAAACGAGAGAUUUAAACAGUCUCUGAUAUACACAUCUUUUUUGGAUGAAUGGAAUUAAACUUGUGAUGUUAACUACAUAACAUCAUAAAGUUGAGGGAUGUUGUCAUGCAAAAUAUAUAGUUCGUGUAGCUAAGUACACAUUUGUUUAGUUUGCAUGGUUAGCCAUGUGAUGGUCCAUACUUCAUGUAGUCAGCAAUCAUUUUUUCCUAUAAAAAUUGAAGCUAUAAGUCAAUGUAAAGUCUAUACUAUUAAAACACAAGGUUUUUUUGAGGUCCUCUUACUGUUUUGCAAGUAUUCACAAAUGUGCUAUUGAAAUAUAUUUAAACAUUAACAAAUUAAAUUGCUUACAACAUCUUGACAAGAUCUUUAGAAUAUUUAAACAUAAAAUAUUCUUUAAAUAAUUAAAUGUCAAAUCUUCAAUUUUGAAAUAUAUUAUUUUCAGCUAUUUAAAUUUUUGUCAUAAAAAUAUAAAUAAUCGUAAAAUCAUAUGAGUAUGAAGUCUUAUGUAAUAGAUAUAGAUAACCAUAUUAAAAGUACACUAUAUAUAUAUGUUAAUAUCAUUUAAAUUUAACUAUAUACUAUAGAAAAUAGGUAAAUAUGAUUGUUUUGAUUUAUUUAUUGCAAAAAGAUUAAAAAUAAAAAGAGUGAUUAUUUUGAUUUAUAUGUUUAUAUCAAUUUAAUUAUAUAUGUAAUAGUUACUUGCUUCUCAAUUAUUCAAUAUAUAUAAUAUUUUAUAUUAUGUAAGAUAUGCAAAAUAUAGUGCACAUAAAAAAUUUGUAUACCGAAUGUUCAUUUCUGCGCAAGAAGCGGAUCUUAACCUAAUGCGCAGAUUUUAACCUAGUAUGAACGAAAGCAUGAGAUUCAUGUAAAUCAACAAUUCUGAAUACAGAGUAUUACAAGAUCUUUCAUACGACCUACAAAUUAUUUAUUUCAUAAAAAUAACCAUUUGAGAUCAGGAAUGCAUAUCGAAUUCAAAGAACUAUAAGUCAAGAGGAGGAGACUUUUCACUGUGGAAUCGAGCAAGAACCUUAUUUUCAAGAACUGCCGAGGCUUCUGAAGAGUUGAUGCAUAAGGGUGUCUUAUAUUGAGCUCUGGAACUACCUCGGGAGAUGAAAUAGUCCGUGAGAGAAUUGAAUGUUCCUUGUUCCACCACUCUUAUCUCUAAAGCCCCAAUUAAUCCAGUUCUUCUCUUAAGUCUAUAAGUGGAACCAAAUGAUUCCUCUAGUACAUAACAACAACCCAUUAAUGUUUUUUCAUCAAGAACAAGAACGUCAUUAACCUCUUUACCUUUGAGUUCCCAGUAAAAAACAUAGUGACCAGGAAAAGUAGAGAUAUCAGCAGAGCUUGUGAAGUCCAUUAACAUUAAAUUUGAAGACUCGAGAACAAAGGUCGCACGAGCCAAAGCCUUUAAAAUGUCAUCUUCAGUUGUGGUCUCCGUUUCUACACUUAAAACCAUAUUCUUUCGACGUACGAAUCUAAACUGAGGUGUGUUAUUGUAAAAUCCAGUCACCUCUAGAAUAUCACCAAUAAGAUAUCUGUUUAGACCGAAACAAGUAGUGACCACAGGUUCAUAGUAGCAUCCUAACUUGACGUUCACAAGAUCGACAAUGCUGGUCAUGUCUCCCUCAUGGUCAACAGGUAGAAACUCGAAGUAAGAGGUGUUGGGCACAAACGUGUAGGACACAUCUUGUGGUUUGCAUAGAGGAUCCACAUUAAACCCAAAUAUACUUUCAGAAGACCCAUAUACUGUGGAAACUAGAGGAAGUUUGUUGCAAUAAAAGUCUAAUAUUGGAAUGUAUUGAGCCAUUUGUCCUGUAAGAACGCACUCAAUACGUUUGGCUUUAGGCCAAAGUCGUGUGACUAUACCUUCCCAUGACUUGUGGCUGCAUUCUUGUUCAAUGAGAUCAGCCAACUCGGGAUUAGGUCCUCCAAUAAUAGCUGAAACAGAGCUUCUGCAACCCAGGUCGGUGAUCCACUCGCUAACAUGACCUAAACGAAUAUUACCACAUAACUCCUUCCAGUUGCUUUCAAGAAAAUCAAUGGCUCGGACCAAUGCAUGAGCAAAAGUUGCACCAAAUCUCACAACCUCGUCUCUUUGGGAAAGACCGCAUAGAAGAUGACAGUACAGACUUUGCUUGUUGUCCGGACACAAUAUGACUUGGUCGGGGCUUGUGUACUGAGACUUUGAUGGUCGGUUUUUGAAAUAAUCGCUCUUGAAAAAACUUGUAAAUGCUGCAGCAACGGGUAAGCCAGAGGGGGUUGUGGAUUCGGGUUUAGUGUAAUGAAACUCCAUUGUCUUUCCUUGCUCGACACCGUUGUCACUGAAAUGCCUUUAAACAAGAACGGGAUGGAUCUUAAUAUCUUAGUAGUGAAAUUUAAGAAGACAUACACAGUAUAUCUAUUAUGUAUUAAGAACUACGAAGUAACAUUAUAUUUUUGAAAUAUAAAAACUAAAAAAUAAAAAAAUAGUAGUAAUUAUUUAAAAAAAAACUAUUUUAGUUUUAUUAACACAGUCAGUUAAAUCCUAAAUCAUAAACUCCAGAUCCAAAACACCAAACACAACACUAACCCUAGAUCUUUGGGUAUAUCCUAAACCCUUGGAUAAACACUAAAUCUCCGGAAAUACCUAAACCCGAAAUCCUAAACUCUAAACUCUAUACUCUAAAUCUUAAAUCUUCGGGUUUACCCUAAACUUUUGGGUAAACCAUAAACCUUUGGGUAAACUAUAAAUUUUUGGGAACAUUUUAAACCCUCCGAAACACCUAUUAGGGUUUAUCCACCAAAGGUUUAGGAUUUCUCCAAAGGUUUAGGGUUUAAUGUUUAGAGUUUAAGAUUUAUGGUUAAUGUUUUAACUGGCAAUGUUAACAAUAUUAAAAAAAUUCAGUAAUUAAUACUAUUUUUAUUUAUUUUAAUCUUGUUCUAUUUUAAAAACAUAAUGUGAUUUGACAAUUUUUCAUUGGUUUUUGAACUUAGAGGUUCACCUUAAGAGUGAACCCAAAAAUUAAUAAUUCAUUACAUUUUGUUAUAUAUGAAGUUUAGAUUUAUUUCGAAAAAAUUAUUUGAGAUACAGGUAGGAAAUAUAUUCUAUUGAGAGUUUGAGCAUAUUUGUAUUAAAACGACAAAUUCAACGUUAUUCAAACAAAAAUUUUAAAAACUUCUUUUGAAUUCAAGUGUUAUUGAAUUUGUUAUUUGAUAAAAUACUUUGAAAUUGAAUGUUAUUGAAAAAAAAUACUCAAGUUGUGCAUUUUAUGAUUUUUCUAUUUAUUUUAGAGUGUUUUAUUGUAAUUUAUUAGUUUAAGAAAAAAAAAUCUUUGAUACAAGUUUCCAGGGUGGUUUAACUAAAAUAAUUUUAAAUUACUAAUUCAUCUAAAAUCACCUAAUAAAAAUUAAAUGACUUCAAAUUAUCAUUUCAAUAAAUCUCCCUAAGGAACUACCAGUAGGAUUUUUCAUAUAUAUAUAUAUAUAUAUAUAUAUAUAUAUAUAUAUAUUAGCUUUGUUUUUAUAGUAUUUUCAAAUUAGCUUUAGUUUAAAACUAGAUUUAAAUGAUCCAUUUCCAUGGAAAGUAAUAACUCCAAAAUUCAUAUUAAAACAAAUCUUAAUUCAUAUACUAUUUGAAAGUUUGAAAAAUUAUUUAAAUCUUAACUUUGGUUUGAUUCCAUGUUUUAAUUGUUGAUAAGCUCAGACAGUGCCGUGCCUAGGUGUUUGGGGGCCUAAGGCUAGAGUAAAAAAGUUUUCAUAAUUAGUAAUAAAUAUCUAUUACAUAAAACUUUACAAAAAAUUAUGUAUUUAAUAUUUAUAGGUUCAUAUGAAAAAGUGAACAUAUUAUUUCUUAAAAGAAUACAAAAUACAUAGUUUAUUAAACCAAAAAUGCAACAAAUUAUCUAUGAGGGUUUUAUAAUUGUUUAAUUAAAUAUGUGCUUAUUUUGAUAUGUUAAAUGGCAAGCUUAUAAAUGUAUUACUACAAUAAUAAAAAUAAAAUCAUACAAGCUAAAAAUUUAUAGUUUAGAGUGUAAAAAUUAAAUAAAUAAAGUAAUAGUUUUAUGAAGAUAGAUGAUAAAUUAAAUCUAAAAAUUUAAAAUAGAAUAAAAUAAGUCUAAAUAGCAUAAAUAAAUUAUUGUUUAAAUCCAAAACUAAGAGAAAUUUAUAUAUACAAUAUAACCAAUUUAAAGUGGAAUUAAAAUGGGGGCCCUAAAAUGUGUUAUACAAGUUGGGGUCUAAGGCGGUUGCCUUUCUCAUAACAAGGUAAGCACGCCUCUGAGCUCAGAUCAAUUUUGGUUUGAAAUGUUUUUAUUUUAAAAAUCAGAUUCAGUCCAGAUCAAUUUUCAUUAUAUAAUAAUUUAUUAAAUUAUUUUUAAUGUUUUUGUUCUUGGAUAUUGUAAAAGAAGUGAAACCUGAUAAACAUUAUUUGGAGUUUACUUUCAGAUAAUUUCUAGUCACAAAAAAAAAACAGAAUGAUUUAUUUAAUAUUAUAGUUAUGAUUAUAUGACAGCAAUUUGUUAAUAUAUAUGUAUAUAUAUAUACAUACUUCAAAUAUAAAAGAAUCCAUUAUACUAACAGAGAUCUGAAUCAAUUUGUAGGGUUAUCAAAUCAAGCUAUUAUAAUUUUGUAUAGAUGGAAUUUACUUGGACAUAACAAGAGAGCGUAGAGCCAAUACGUAUCCCAGCUGCUCAAUGGCCUCAUCGUUCACAGGAAAUAUCUUUUGUUUCCCUCCUGAAGUUCCAGAGCUAUACACAACAAAAUUCCACAAUAGUUAUAGAUCACAGUGGUAUAUAUAUAAGUAGUAGCAACUAUCACUUUCAAGAUCAUCAUGAUGGUAGUAUGUACCUUCGGAAGAAUCUAGUAACGGGUCCACCUGAAAUUAAAUCUGAAGGCUCUCCAUUCGCAACACGUUCAAUGUAAGGCUUAACAUCUUCAUAGUUCGCCAACGGUACGUUUUUCUUGAAUAGUUCUUUAUCAUUGCUUCCAUGGAGAAACCGUCUGAGGUAUUCUGUGUUGCUGUUAAGUCUAAGUAUCUUCUCCAAUAAAUCAUCUUGUAUCUGCUCUGCAUUUAACGUUAACUCCUCCAGACUACUGAGCUCUACGAUUGAACUCAUAUUUUUUGGUUUUUAUCUAUAAUUCACUUUAAGUAAGGGGGUCUUUUAAGUUUUAAAUCUUUGUCAAACAAGGGGAGGGGUAUUUAUAUUGCAGUUAUACACCAGACAAAAGUCUCGCAGGCUCUUAAAAACAAAAAAUUAAUUUCACAUGCUCUUAAUGAAUCUAUCGUACUCUUCAUUUAAUCUAUACUAAAAAGAAAUGAGAUUAAAGUCAACUAUGCCAUUAUUUCAUCUAACCAAUCAUGUGAUUUCGUCUUAUUUCUUUCACUCGUCCCUCUUCUUUCCUCUCCUCUCCUAUUCGGUAUGUUCUGUCUCUCUUUUCCCGAGCACCAUUGUUUCUGGCUUGUUUUACAUUUGAUUCACCAGCACUACAUUAAGCAAUUUUGACGAAUUAUAAGUAUACAUUCAUACCCACACACUAUAACUACAUUACGCAACAUUACAUUAAGCAUUACAUGUUCUUCAAUUGAUAUAACUUGGCAUAUCUUUGUAUAACUUGGUAUAACUGGUAUAACUAAGUAUUAGUUGAGCCGUACAACUUGGAUAACUAGAUUAAUAAAAAUGUAGAAGCAAAUGAAAUGAAAUUAUGAUAUUACAAAACUUAUAUAUUUCAUCAAAUUAAGCAUUUUAUUAGAUGGUUAGAUGAAAAAUGAUUAUACGAAACUAAAUAUAAAUAACACUACAUGUGUGCCCAACACUACAUGUUUCCCGAUUUAUUCAAUUUGUACCCAAUACUAAUAGUAUAAUUUUGUAUAACUUGGCACAACUAUAUUGGUACAGUUGGUAUAACUUAGUAUUAGCUGAACCGUAAAACCAUAAAACUUUUAUAACUUGAUUAGUAAAACUUGUAGAAGAACAAUAAAAUGAAAUGAAAUUGUUGUAUUACAAAACUUAUAUAUUUCAUAAAAUUAAGUAUUUUAUUAGAUGGUUAGAUGAGAAUUGAUUAUAAGAAACUGAAUAUAAGUUUACAAUAAAACUAAGAAAAAUAAGAAACUAAAACUUCGAAUUUUUUUCUUUUUCUUUUUUAAAUUCCAGCCCAGUUUUACCUCCCAUUUUCAAAACAUCCCAAACUCAUGUCAUUCUGUUGUCAAGUAUAAAAACCAUUUUCAUGGUUUUCCCAUUACUACAAUCCUUUCAAUCUCAUUGAAGCAUGGAGAAGCCAUUCUUUGUGAAAACAAGCUCAUUUGAUGAAUUGUGACGAAGCUGAGUUCCAUUGCAAUAAGUUUUAAUAAGUGAUAUCAUUUUUUUUCUUCUUGUAUAAAGUUGCAUAAGUCUCUUGUUUGUUUGUUUGUUAGGUUUUUUGUUUUUGUAUGUUUUUUGUUAAAACAAUGAUUAAGUAAUAUUGCCAAUUUUAACUAUUUUGAUUGUUUAUAUUAAGGAACUACAAAUUUCCAAAGUUUUACUUUGUUAGCAAUCACAAAAUCAAAGUUUAACAAAAGACAUCAAGAAUUAAUAUACGAUCCAUCAUGUCCUCGUCAUAUACAAUAGAAGUCCUGUACAAUCCAAAUUAGUUGAAGUUUUAAUGAACUGUCCAAAGUUUUGUAGUUAUACCAAGUCUAACUAAGUUAUACAUUUUGGGUGCAUUUUUUCCCCUUUUUUAUGGGUAAUUCGUGUUAUAUUAUUGGAUUCGACUAGUCUCUAGGUGGAAGAUUAUAGACUAGUCUCUAGGUGGAAGAUUAUCCUUUUGGUGAUGAAAGAAUGAAAUGAUAUCGGUUAAAUUGAAGAUUGAUGUAGCUUCCACCAUUGUUUAAAAGAAAUCGAUUUAGGAAGAUUGACCCGAUGAAUAUCUAAGUGGAUUAGGUGGUCCGCCUGAAUUGUAAUUCUUUAAAUUAUAUUUUGGUUUUGUGGUAUUUUAGUUUUUCGGAAUUCAAUAAAAAAAAUUAUAUUCGAAAAUGAAAAGAGAGCAUAUGAAAUUAUUUUUUGUGUGGAAAAGGACAUAAGCGGACAAAAAGAUGGGCCCAUUAGGUUUGGUUUUGUUUGUGUAGACGCUUACACAUGUCACAACUAAGAAAUACGUGUCAACGGAUCAGUAACGUAUAAUGCUGUGAAAUACAGCAAUUUAUUUAUAUCUCACAACGUCAUAACUUAUUUAAGAGAAUGGCGAAAACUUUAAUGCAGUAGUAAUUUGACUAAAAAAUUUAGUAAUAUUUUAUACUAAAAAUUUUGAAUUUAGACUUCUGAAAAAUGUGAAAUAUAUAAAUUAAUAAAAAAUACUUACUACAAAUUUUUGGAUAAGGUAAGUCAGAUGUAAAUUCUCAUUAAACAAAAACUCAUUAAUUAUAAAUAAAUAAUAUAUUUAUCUUGUUUAAAAUUAGUUCUAAGCGUCACCAUUGAAAAAAAUAAUUAUGAAAUUAGUUUGAAAGUAAUUACUACAGAGGGGAAGAGGGUUAAGUAAUUGCAUAAAAUACAUGUUUUAUUAUAUUUUUUGUCGACAUGUUUAAUUAUAUUAGAUUUAUACAUAUUUUUUGGUGUGAGUCUGUGAGAUUAUACUUGAAAAUUUUAUGUCUAACAAAAUAAAAUUUAUAGACCCAAAAAAGGAGCGUCAGGGAAGUAGAAAACCACAAGAAAAACUUCACAUCCAAACACAUAUUUACAUGAAAUAAAUUAUACGGUAAAAACACCAUAAUUAUAAUUAAUUUCAAUUCCGAAAGACUAAAUUUUGAUUAAAAGAGUAUUAAAUCAUUUUUGUACAUAAAUGAUCAAAUGUACAAUUUAAAACAAAUUAAAUUUUGAUCCGAACUUCCAAAAUUUAGAAUUAUUUUUAUUUAAAAUGUUGAUUUAAUAAAAAUUAUAACUGCAGCUAUAAUUUAUGCAUUUUAACUUUUUUUAUAAUUUUGUUUAAAUUUGUGUUAUUUUAUUUAGUUUUAAAGUUAGGUUUAGAAUUUUUUUAUAAACUCAAUGUGACAUUUUGAUUUCUGUUAUACACCUGAAAAACUUAAGAAAAUUGAUUUGACUACAUAUGUUAAUAAAACUUAUGUUUUGGUAUACAUCUUGUUAAAACUUCAGAGUUAAAAGUGUUUAAUCUGGAAUAGUAGAAAUAUGAAUGAUUUAUCGGAAAGUUAUUCGCGAUAUCGUGAGAGUGUGGUCAAAUUAGGGAGAAAUGUCAUGUAGUGAUUGUAGAGUAAGUAAACAAGACUAACGAGCCUCCAAAAAAUUAAAGCACCGUCGUCGCAUAGAAUAUGGAUGGUGCAUUAGCCGUGGGAAGUUGGAGCGUUACACUUUAGUUUUAAUUUAUUAUUAUUUUUUAAAUCAUUAUAUAUAUAGCUUUUCCUAAUUUAAAUAUUUUAAACUAUAUAAAUAAAAUUUGGAUAUCAAUAUUAACUUUGUGAAAUAAAGCGAAAACCUUAAUUUUGAAUAUUAGUGUAUUCAUAUUUUAUAUUUUGAGGAGUAAUACUUUUACAAUUACAAAAAUAUAUAGUUUUUCUGUUAACUAUCAUGUACUAUAUAUACUAUAGUGUAAAAUCAUAAUUUAAAAAAAAAUACUUUUAGCAAAUUAAUCAUUGUAAGUUUAAUAUGCAUUUCGUUAAUUUAUAAUAUUUUUUUGUAUUACGGAAUAACAUACAUUCAUAUAAAAUUUUAUUUUUAUUAUAAUAUUAUAUAGUCAAAUUAAAAUUUUAUAUAAAGAUAACUAUACAACAUUAAAAUCGGAUAAUUCGUUUUUUGGUGUGUCUCGUAUUUUCUUUAGUUUAUUUGUACAAAUCAAAAUUGAAACAGAAUAACACAUCUUUUAACAUGUCUUGCAUUAGUUAAAUUUUUUUAAAAUAUUUUUUACUAUAAAUUAUUUAAUGUGUUUGUUAAAACUGUCUCAUAUUUGAUUAAUAAAUUGCAUGGAUGAUAGAAACUUUUUUUUUUACAGCAAGCAUUUACAGACUCAUGUUGACUCUGUAAACCAAAUUGGUAACUCCGCAUCCAUGUAAACGACGAAUGACGUUUGUUUCUUAGCACUGGGUGCUAAGCUAUCCGCCCGUGGAUGAUAAAAACUAUAACAGUUAAAUAUCAAGUGUAACAUGUUUCAAUUAAUUUAAUAGUUUAAUUUUUGUCAUGUAAGUAUAUAUUUAUUUAUCAAAAUUGUAUUAAAAAUCAUAAUUAUAGUCAACAACCAGUAAUUUAACAUUUAUUUUUUAUAUUUUAUAAAUUAUAGGAUUUUAAAUAUUGGAGUUUUUGUUAUUUUAUGCAUAUUUAUUUAAAUAUAUUAAUUAUUGACUUUAAUAUUUAAUGAUUCUAUAAAUAUAUAUACAUAAUUUUAUAAAUUUUCUAUUGUAUAUAUAAGUCGAAAUUAAUUUAAUAUUAAUUUAUAAUAAUAAUUUAGCAAUAAUUACGAAAUUAUUUAAAUAUUUAUAAAUUUUGAGACUUUAAAAAAACUGUAUAUUCAUGAAUGAUAUAAUAAGAUUUUAUUAGUUUGUAAUAAAUUUUGUAUGAAGUCUUUUUAUUUCUUUUUUUUAGAAAUAUUUAAAUAAUUAAUUGAAUAAUCUAGUUGUUAAGAGACAUUUAAAUUGUAUAGUUAGUAUAAGGGUCUAAAUUUAACAAUGAUACACAGAAGACUAAGGUUAUGUUCAAUUAGUAUUUCUAUUUUAACAGUAUAGAUAAAUAUUAUAUUGAAAAAAUGGAAAUAUUAAAUAUAAUUUUGAAUUAUAAAAAUAUAUUUUUUGAGCUAUAAAAGGAAUGAAAGAUAGAUGGCGGAGACAUCAACUUUUAGACAUACACAUUUAGCUUAUUUCAAUAUUGAAAUAUUAUCUUGAUUCUUCAAAUAAAACUUCAAAAUCAUUAGCACUAUAAUCCAUUCACUCCCAUUUCUUUUUCUUGUUUUACACUUUCUAUAUUAUCCCUUUGAAAUUUGUAUUAUUCGAAACAAUCAUAACUCUUAUAUUAUUUAUUUUAUUAACAUUAACAACACAAUUUUUUUUAUAACUCAAGAACAAAUUUCAGUCCUAAACAGAUCUAAACUAAUCUUUUGGAGGCGUGUGGUCCACGCUACAACAUUGUUCAGAAACAAUCAUGAAAUAAUUCGAAUUCGCAAUAUAUAGAUGCAGGAAAGAGUCUGCCCUUACUAUUAGACCACGGACUUAACAACACGGCUACAACAUUUUUAGAAUAUAUGCUCUUUAAAAGGAAAUUUUUGUAUGUAGGAAAUUUUUGCAUUUCCGAAUAUUUCUAGUGUAUUAAAUUUAUCUAUUUAAUCUAAUCUUUACAUGCUUUGACUACUAUUGGUAGAAUUAACAUUAGGAAUAAUCAAGCUUUUAUUCGUUUUAAAAAUUUCAGUGAAAAUUUAUAAGAUAUGAAUUAUCAACACAUAUUAUAAAUAUUUAAUACUAGCAUGCAUAUUAAAAACUAAACUAAACUAAACAAUACAGCGAAAGUGACAUUGACAAGAAACCGAGGCCGUAAAACUAAUCUAGUUGCCAGCAGUGGAGCGGGCAAAAAUUUAAAGCGAACUAAAAUGGUCGGAGAAAAGGAAAUGGUUACCACGAGCUACUGAAAGAGAGGUGGACUUAAACUUAAUUGCUACAAUUUCUUCAGCUUCCGCUACUCAUUUUUUUUUGUAAACGUUGUUAAAAAUUGAAAUUUGAUAUAAUUAUCAUUUUAUCAAAAAAAAUCAUGCACAUUAAAAUAUGUUUCAUACAAUUGAUUAAUCAUAAUUACUUAAUAAAGAACAAAUGAUUAGGAAAAAAGAACAACAAUUAAGGUUUUCAUAACUAGACAAAAUACAGAGCAUUGAGAGGGAUGGGUAAAAGACAGUGUUGGCUGGUGAAGAUUGAAAAGACGGUAUCAUGAAGUUUCACGUGUAAACGACAGCUUUUUUCUAAUUUUUUUUUAUAGUAAGACAGCUAACCAAAACAAAUUUCAAAUGAACGCUAUCUUUGUGAUGGAAACCUACCUCCAUUCGUGUUCGUCAUCCAGAAAAAAACAAAACGUGGAGAAUUAGUAUACAAGGCCGCACCUACCAACUUUUUGGUAAUCCGAAUCGUCUAGAUUCAAAGAUCCGACUAGUCCUAGAAACCGAGAGACAAAUUAUGUAAAAUAUUUCAUAUUCCUACACAUACAUAACUUAUCAGGAUGGUAGAUGUUAAACACUCCGUGUUUAGCAUCUCUCUAAACCGUCGUAUUACUCGACCAUGUCUGUGUAGACGUACUAGCUACUAUUUUAGAUAAGGAUAAACUCAAGUCUUUGUAUUAUUGGAUCGAACUAUUUUCAAAAUGCAAUUUUGGUUGUUUUGGCUUUCUAUGUUUUCCAUAUAUUACCAUUAAAUGAUAGAAAAUAUUGUCGUGACUUACUGACUUUGGGUAAGUUUAUGAGUUAAAUAACCCAUUUGAGUCACUCAUCUAUAUUAGUGCAUGUUGAACCUAACAUAUAUACGACCGAUUACAUAUUCUAUUGUUCUAAAUUAUUAUUAUUAUUUUAUUAAAUAAUGAAAUAAUUAAAAAGAAAUUGUAAGGAAUAUUCUGUUUGCUUUACAACAUAUAUAAUGGGGGUUACUGGCUGAGAUUUAUCUCUCUAAUUUAGUUUUAUUUAUUUUUAAAUCACUACAUUUUAUCAAUCAUGUUGUAGUUUUAUUUUUAAAAUAAAGCUUACAUCAAGUUUCUAUUAAUUUUUACCAAUCAUGGUUUAACUUUAUUUUUAAAGCUACAACAAGAACAAUUUUUUUUCUUAUGUAUUUUAGGUAAAAAACAUAUAUCUUUCUUUUAUAGGCUGUAGAAUCUGUAAAAUGAAAAGACUUUCCAAAUAUCAAAUAAAUUAGAUAAUCAUGAUAAAAACAUCUAUAAAUAUUUUAAUUUAAGUUUGGGUGUUUUUAAAAUUAUUAAAAUAUUUUAAAUAACAUAAAUAAUAUUUACGUAUCACAUUUUAAAUAAGGUUAAACUUAUAGCAAAAAUAAUAUAAAUUAUUUUAAUUGAUAAAAAAAUAAUCAUUUUAUAUAUACAUCACAUAUUUCACAUCUUUUAUUUUAAAAUAUCUACAGUCUAUAGCUUACAACUACAAUAAAUUUAACUACAAUAAAAAUCUCUUCAAAAAAGUUUACAUUACAAUUUUACAGCUACAGUCGAACCAAUCAUUACCAAUAUAGGUACUCUUUUUUUGGGUGAAUAUAUGUAUCUUUGACAUGUAGAAUCACAAUAAACGGUAAGCAUUACAACUAGAGCUAAACUUUUACUGCUAAAUUCUUACAGCCACAUUUAAACCAAUCAUCAUCACCAAUAUAUGUACUCUUUUUGGGUGAAUAUAUGUAUCUUUGACAUGCAUAAUCACAAUAAACAGCAAGCAUUACUGAAAAUUCCUAUAAUUUUAUCUUUACUAAUAUACAUAAAUAAUAUUCUUAAAAUAUUAAUUAAUUUUUUGUUCUAAUCACCGAAUCGAAGAGAUUUACACAUUUUAUUGAUUUAUGAUUCAGUAUACAUUUUAUUGAUUUAUGAUUCAGUUUAUACAUUUAUAUAUAAUAAUUAUCAAUAUAAUGUAAUACAUUUACCACAAUAGUAAUGCAUGGUCAGGUUACAAAGACCAGAUCAAAUAACCAACUCAAUUUUGAGAAGUAUAAUAAUUUUUUGAUGUCAAAAAAGCAAUGCAUGGUAUUUGAAUAAGAGUUUAUAAAAUAGUUUAGUUAAUAGUGGUGAUAUACUUGUCUUUUUAUAUACUAAACUUAAUGUACCUAUAAAAAUGAUUAUCAUUUAAUAGUAAAUUUGAAAAAUAAAAUGAAAUAAAAAUGUAAAGGUAGAAUUUUUCCUUGAAGUUUUAUGUAACAUUUGCUUUCAUCACAAGAUCCGCUGUAACACACUGGUUAAAAUUCUUCAAAGGAAAUUUCUGGGUCAAUUUCGAUCAAUCGGGUCUUCCUAUCAUUCGUAGACAAACUUUCAGAAAAUUAUUCGAUUGGAUCUCGAUCUGCCGAAUACUCCAGAUUAUAUAUAUAGAAAAAGUAUAUCUUGUGUAGUUUUUGUUUGCCAUCAACUUAAACAUACUUGGUUAAGAUCAUGUUAACCAAACUGGGGACUCUAUGUUUAUGUGAACAAGAUAGGACGGUUGAUUCCGAGAACCGUGUGCAAAACUAUCCAUCUCUGUGUUGUGAGUCCGGGGGAUGUGUAUGAUUUCAAACGUGUUGAAACCUUCCUUCAGUCUUUGUAUGUCAUCCAAAUACGUCACAAAAACGGGCGAUUCUUCUAGUUCUGAAAUCAUUUUUACCAAUUGAGACCAAUAUGUUGCAAAAGUAACUUAAAAUUAUCUGAGAGUUUUGUCUGAGAGUUGUCAUACAUUCCAUCACCCAUGUGAAGGCUUCUAAUUCCACAUGCAAGGGUGAGAGACUGGCUCUGGUAUUUCUUGCCACAUCAAACCUUCAAAGCCUUCUAAUGUUAUAUACCAGCAUUGACCAAAGAAUAAAUCCUUGUCUUUCACGGAUUUAUCCGUAAAACACCAUCUUCCUACCCUCUGUAUUGUGAUUUGCGCAAUAUGAUAUAUUGUGUUUUUGGCACAUUAUAUGUAUGUCUUACUAAUAGUUUUCAAGGUUUUAUUGAGUCUUUUUAGUUCCUUUGAGUCAUUACAUGUCUGGAGUUGCAUUGGAUGGGAGAUGGACCAGCUGGAGGAAAACCGGAGAAAAAGAGUGUGAUUUGGAGUCUUUCGCGCAGAACAGUCGAGCGGAGCAGCCUGAGUGCCUGCUCCAGCGACAGAGAUUUAAAAGGAAGUUUCUAAAUAUUUCGGGAUUUGCCCUAGUUUUCAUAUUUUUCCCUCUAGCCGUCUGUGGCCCCUAUAUAUAGUCUUCUUUUAUUUAAUUUAUGACCUACCUUAGUUUUUACGCAAGAAAGAUCUGAGAGAGCUUUGUGAUUUUAGCAAUUGCUACUUGUAAGGGAGAAUGUCUAAUCUAUUUCCUAGAGAAGAUUAUCCUGAACCAUCUGAUUUCUAUUAUCUAUUAUAUGCAGUAAUUCAGAAAUCAUGCUUCUCUGUUCUUGUGUUAUGUCUGAGUAGUCACCGAGUUAGUUUAGGGUUCUAGGGUUUGGAUUCGCGAGCUGAAGUAUAAAUAAGUCAUCUUAAGAUUGUCUACAUUCAUAUCUGUUCUUAUUGCUCGCAUUGAACUGAUCACUUAGUGCAUGAGUUAGGUUAAUCAAUUUAGCUAACCGUUGGUUGAUAACUUGAUAUGAUUUGAAUGAGCUUUGACUCCCUAGUCAGCGAGAGUAGAUAUUAUGGUGUAUUGGAAACAUAUCGGACUUGAUCUCUAAAGCUUGCUAUCGCGUCUUGAUCCAAACGAGAGUUUAGGUGUCAAGACCGAUCUACAAAGGAAACAACACCACGACAGUGGGUUGUUUCAACCUGAGUGAUCCGAGUUUAGACUCGUUUAAACUGGACUUGAAUAAUUGUUUGGUUUGCGAUUUCCUUACCUGAAGAAGAAACUUUAGACUAGCGCCUUUAAUCAAUUCGAAAACAACCUCACCUUGUUAACUUGUUAUUUACGUUACCUUACUAUUUUAGAAACCCCAGUUUUGUUUUAGCUUAAUUCUGAUCCCAUAAAGAUAAAGUGUGAACUGGUCCUCUGGAAUUGAAUCUAAAGAUAUUACAACUACACUGUUAACUUGGCAGUAGGCAAAGAUCCAAUUUUAGUGUAUCAAGUUUUGGCGCCGUUCUUUUUUACCUUUAUUUUUUGGUUAUUUAUUUAGUCUAAAACUUCUAUUUUGGUACAUAUAGUUUUGUGUAAAAUAUUUGGGCUGAUCAUUGGUUGUCCAUAUCCAAAUAUAAAUGGAUUUAUUCUGAUUACAUCUAUGUUUUUAUAUGGGCUUUAAUUGGUCAAGAAUUAUAAACCAAUUGAUCUAUGCACGUUAAUGGAUUUAGUUUAUUGUAGAUGUAGUCAGCCCAAUACACAAAAAGUUAGGGUUUUGUCAUUUGAGGAGAAAAUUUUGUUUCGUAGUUUUCUCUAAUUUUCUUCCAAAAUCUCUCCUUUAACUACUCAUUUGGUGAUUUCCUUCAUCGUUCGUAUCUUCAUAUGUUGAUCUCUCGACUGUCUUUGUCGACUCGUCGAUCUCUCCAAAACUUUUCGAUUUAUCUUCCUCUUCUCUCAACAUCGAUUGGUUUUACUUGUUUUCUCAUAUAUCAUUGAUUUUGAGAGACAUGCAGAGGAUCCGAAGGGUUUUACUUGUUUGUGAUCUGAUAGGUUUUACUUGUUUGCGAUUUGAUAUGUUGAUUUGUUUUACUUGUUUAGAUGGGUUUACUUGUUUGAGAUUAGAGAUGUUGAUUUGUUUUGCUUGUUUUGAUUUGUUUACAUUGAGUUAGAUGGAUUUCAUUGUUUGCUUGCUACAUGUUUCAUAAAUGUUUCACUGCUACAGGUUUUCCUUGUUUACUUGUUUGCUUGUUCGUAUUCUUGUUUGAUUGCUAUGGGUUUCAUUGUUUGUUUGUUCAUAUACUUGUUUGCUUGUUCGUAUUCUUGUUUGAUUGCUAUGGGUUUCAUUGUUUGUUUGUUCACAUACUUGUUUGCUUAUUCAUUUUCUUAUUUGUUUUCUUCGAGUUUCAUUGUUUGCUACAUGUUUUACUUGUUUGCUUGUUCAUAUUCUUGUUUGCAAUUUGAUAUGUUGAUUCGUAUUACUUGUUUGCGAUUUGAUAUGUUGAUUUGUUUUACUUGUUUGCAUUUUGAUUGGUUUGUUAUUUUGAGAUGCUUAUUCAUUUACUUGUAUGAGUUAGAUGGUUUCAUUGUUUGCGAUUUAAGAUGUUGAUUCAUUUGCUUGUUUGAGAUGUUGAUUCGUUUACUUGUUUGAGUUAGAAGGGUUUCAUUGGUUGCUUACUACGAAUUUCAUUGUUUGUUUAAAAGCACAAACAAUAUCAAAGUUUACGAUUUUUUUGUCUGAAUGUCUCACUAAUAGUAAGGCGGGUUCAGAUAUAUAGAUAGAUAUCACAUGAUGAUCAGAGCUAAUUAAAGUUACAAGUCCAACUUUAUAUGGUUUGAUUGGUUAUUAGUAGAGUAACUCAGGAAGAUAAAAAAAAAUAGAGAAAAUAGAAAAGGAAAAAGUGAACUUUAGCGCAAUAUUUUAUUUACACAACGAAAAAGAAAAAGCACAACUAAUUUUUUCCUUCUCGACUAUUGUCAACGAAAAAGUAAAGUAUAUAUAUUUUUAUUUGACUGGUGAAAUAAUGCCAGAAAUUAGAGUAAAUAUGUUUACCUUUAAAAUAUAUUGCUAUAUCUAACAAACAAUCACAACCAUAAUAAACAUAAGAACAACAUUAUCAAUUUAUCGGUACAUACGAAAGCAAUAUCUCUAACAACUAAUAAUAAUAUUUUAUAUUAAAUUUAUUAUGUAGUUGUUUUACUUUUUAGUAUGAACCAGUUAUAAAUUAACAUUUGUCAAAAACAAUAUCUCGCAAGUUAUCAAAAGUUUUUUUUUAUUAGAAUUGGUUCUGACACAAUUCAUCUAUUGUUUUUUCUCGGUUUUUUUUAGCUCUGAUAUUUACAGAUCCACGUUGGAGGUGAUCUAAGACCAUGUGCAAUGGGGCUGUUGAAUUUUUAAUUCAACAGUUGAAUUCCCACAAUGAACAUGUUGAAAAAGUUAAAAUGUUUAUGUGGAUUCAACUGAGUUGAAACUUUUCAACAUGUUAAAACACAAAACAUGAGACCCACAAGUGACAUAUUCCAAAUUAGUCAAUGAGAAAGAAGAGAGAGAAUGAUAUAUUUGAUAUUUUUAUCCUCCUAAUUGUUUGUGAUUAGUAUUUAUACAAAUAGAUUGAUUUAAUUUAUUUUAUUUUAUAUAAAAAUUAUUUUUCUUAUUCUACAACUAGAAACUUGUUUUGAUUAAUUUGGUUAAAAAUAUAUAUAAUACAUAAUUCUACUACUUUUUAGUAAACUAGUUUUAAUUUUUAUUACAUGCAAAAAUAUAAAACAAGAAAAAAAACAUUUUAAAAGUUAAUUCUUUUAAUUUGAUUUUUUUUUUAAAUAUUUCUGUUAAUAUUUAGAUAUUUUUUAUAAAAGUUAAAUGUAGAUAUACAAGUAUAUAAAAUAAAAUUGUAGGGUAUGUAGUUGAAUUUUAUUAAACAAAAAUAUUGUAAGGGUUAAAAAUGAAUUGAGUGUUGAAUAAUGAAGUGGAAGAAAGGGAAGAUGACAUGGAUAGUUAAAAUGAGAAUUGAAGGUGUUGAAUUUACAAAACCAUUGUCCAUGGUCUAAAGAUCAAAAAAGUUUGGGAUUUUCAUGAUUUUAGUAUUGGUCCACGUCGUCAAUGUUCUUUAGACUAUUAAGAUUGUGAUAUAAUAACACCAAAUGGGCUUUAGUAAGUUCAGUUCAAAAGGUUCUUUUGUUCAUUUGUUUUGCUGUCUAGUUUUUUUUUGUGUUUUGACUCGAUCUAGUUUUCUGUCCGAUUCACAGUAGGGUUAGAUACGAAUACUCAUUACUUGUCUUAUACCCGCUACUUGACCCGUACUCACUUCGUUUUUUCAAAUAUUCGUCGUUGUCAAAUCAAGUAUCAAGUCGUUGAGUUUUGCUUCUUGCAAGUACAAGGCAAGUAACAAAUAUCACAUAAAAAGUUACGACUCGCCUUGAUAUUAUUCAUUACUUGUUUUACGAUUAAAAAAUAAUAAAUAAACCAUAAAAAUUAAAUCCCUAAACAAAUAUUUUUUUGUUGUAAAAAGUAAACAAUAUUUUUUUUUAUCGAAUUUCAUCUUUUUUUUUUAUAUUAAGUUCAAAUAUUUUAUUUAAAAUAACUCUCGUGUUUUUACCAAAUCGAAUAAAUAAAAUAAACUUUCCUCGUAAAAUAUUAUCUAUCAAGUCAUUUUUAGAAAGUUGGAAAUAUAUCCAGCUAAUUGAUAAAUACUUGUAAGUAACAAGUAAUUGAAUAAAGUAAGUAACUUGCAAAGUAAUAUAUUUUUAGACAAGUACACAAAAUAACAAAUAUUCGUUUCUGAUUCUGACAAGUUAAGUACAAGUCUAAAAUUUUCUAAUUCACAGGACAAGUAUAUCCGUUGACUCAUCGUUCUGUAGAAAAGCGGGUUUGUGAAAAUUACGUACGUUAUUUUAUCAAAUGACUGGACUUAUUCAACUGACCAUGCGUUGUGAUUAGAAAAAGAAAAUAGUAAGAAAAAGAAAUGUUUUCUUGUCUCCAUCGUGACUGGAUUCUCUGCGUAUUUGUGGAAAGUAUGCAACCUUUGUCGCUAAAUCCUUACUAAUAAAAGGGACCUUUUGAGGCUCCAUAGAGCGUCCACAUCAGCGAAAAAAAAUUCUCCCGAAAGAUGACACGUGGCAUAAAAUAUAGUUUUACAUUUUAAUAUUACUAAUUUUUAAAAAUUAUAAAUAAUAUGAAACAUAGAGCAUAAAAAAUGGAAAAACUACAUUGAACAUAUGUAAAAUUACUAUUUUUCACUUUAAAAAAAAGACGGCUUAAUUCCAUAAUGUAAUAUUACCAUUUUACAUUUUUAUUUUAAAAAAAAUAAUAUGUAAACAUACAACAUAAAAAUGGAAAAACUACAUUAAACAUAUGUAAGAUUACCAUUUUUCACUAAAAAAAGACGGUUUAUCUCCAUAAUGUAACAUUACUAUUUUGUAAAAAAAAACAUUAUAUAUAAUUUCGAAAAUAAUAAAUAAUAUGUAAACAUACAACAUAAAAAAUGGAAAUACUACAUUAAACAUAUGUAAGAUUACCAUUUUACAUUUAAAAAUAACAAUAAAAUGUAAACAUACAACAUAAAAAAAUGGAAAAACUACAUUAAACAUAUGUAAGAUUACCAUUUUUCACUAAAAAAAACGGCUUAUCUCCAUAAUGUAAAAUUUCUAUUUUAUAUAAAUAGAGCAUAAUGUUAUUUUAUAUAAUUUCUAUUUUUAAAAAUUAUAAAUAAUAUGAAACAUAGAGCAUAAAAAAUGGAAAAACUACAUUGAACAUAUGUAAAAUUACUAUUUUUCACUUUAAAAAAAAGACGGCUUAAUUCCAUAAUGUAAUAUUACCAUUUUACAUUUUUAUUUUUUAAAAAAAUAAUAUGUAAACAUACAACAUAAAAAUGGAAAAACUACAUUAAACAUAUGUAAGAUUACCAUUUUUCACUAAAAAAGACGGUUUAUCUCCAUAAUGUAACAUUACUAUUUUGUAAAAAAAAAACAUUAUAUAUAAUUUCGAAAAUAAUAAAUAAUAUGUAAACAUACAACAUAAAAAAUGGAAAUACUACAUUAAACAUAUGUAAGAUUACCAUUUUACAUUUAAAAAUAACAAUAAAAUGUAAACAUACAACAUAAAAAAAUGGAAAAACUACAUUAAACAUAUGUAAGAUUACCAUUUUUCACUAAAAAAAACGUCUUAUCUCCAUAAUGUAAAAUUUCUAUUUUAUAUAAAAAAAACAUAAAUAUAACUAUUUGACUAUUUGUCCAAGUUCUUCUAUUAAACAUUGACGUUUUACAUUAAAAAUGGAAAAAUACAUUAAGAUUUAAACAUCUAUCUUAAAAUAUAAAAUAUAGAUAUUAACUAAAUAUAAAGUAUAAGAAAGAGAAAUACUCAAUAUAUUGAAAAAUAAAUAAUAAUUAAAUAUUAUAAAUAUAUAAAUAUACGAAUUAUAUAUACAAUAAUAAGUAAAUGCACAAUUUUUUAAAAAUGGAAAGAGUACAUUAAAUAUUAAACAUCUAUAUUAAAAUGUAAAAUAUAGAUAUUAAGUAAAUAGAAAGUAUAAGAAAAAGAAAUACACAACUUAAAAAUAAUGGAAAAAGUAUAUUACGAUUUAAACAUCUAUCAUAAAAUGUAAAAUAUAGAUAUUAUGCAAAUAGAAAGUAUAAAAAAAGGAAAUACACAAUUUAAAAAAAUGGAAAAAGUACAUUAGUAUUUAAACAUCUAUCUUAAAAUGUAAAUCUAUCUUAAAAUAUAAAAUUAUUAGUAAAUAGAAAGUAUAAGAAAUAGAAGUACACAAUAUAAAAAAAAAUAAUAAGUAAAUAUAUAAUAUAAGUAAAUACCCAAUUUAAAAAAUGGAAAAUUACAUUAAGAUUUAAAAAUAUAUCUUAAAAUUUAAAAUAUAGAUAUUAAGUAAAUAGAAAGUAUAACAAAUGGAAAUAUACAAUUUAAAAAAAAAUGGAAAACGUACAUUAAGAUUUAAACAUCUAUCUUAAAAUGUAAAAUAGAAAUAUUAAGUAAAUAAAAAGUACAAGAAAUGUAAAUACAUAUACAGGAAAAUAAAUAAUAAGUAAAUAAUGUAAAUAUAUAAUAUAUGAAUUAUAUAUAUAAUAAUAAGUAAAUACACAAUUUUUUAAAAAAAUGGAAAAACUUCAUUAAGCAUUAAACAUCUAUCUAAAAAUGUAAAAUAUAUAAUAUAAGUAAAUACACAAUUUUAAAAAAUGGAAAAAGUACAUUAAGAUUUAAAUAUCUAUUUUAAAAUAUAAAAUAUAGAUAUUACGUAAAUUAAAAUAUAAGAAAUGGAAAUAAACAUUUACAAAAAUGGAAAAAGUACAUUAAGAUUUAAACAUCUAUCUUAAACUGUACAUCUAUCUUAAAAUGGUAGUAAAUUAUAUAAAAAUGGAAACACCACAUUAGACAAAAAAAAUGUAUAGUUUUACAUCAAGAAAGUCCCUAAAGAACUCAUUAUUCCAUCAAUAUCAACCUCACUCUAUCAAGGAAAAGUUCAAAGCACUCGAGCAAAAAAAUGGUUCCACCAUCAACUUUUGCCGUCCCAAAAACCUUUAAUGACCUUGAAUGAGAUUUUUUAUGACAACAAAUUUUUUGUUAGGUGGAUUCAUUGUUGGGAAACCCGCAACUUCCAAAAGCCAAACUUAUUCAUGGGAAUUGAAUUGCUUUUCAUAGACUCAAAGGUAUUCUUACAAUUGUUAAUAUUCAUACUAACUCUUUCAUGAUCAAACCAUUACAGUUAAUAAUCAUUCAAGCGUUUAUCCUGAAACACUUCCUUCCUCGCCGAAUCAGGUAUUGGUUCAUGUUGGUUUAAUAUUGUUUUUGGUUUAUUAACCGGUUUAGGAUAGUCCUAUUGUAUAUAUAAUUUAAGUUGGUUUUGCAUAUAUUAUGAUUAAAAUUAAAUAAUAGUAAUAUUAUGCUUAAAAUAUAAUUUUAGAGAGUUUUCAAAUAUAGUUUAGAGAACAUUAUAGGUGAUGAAUUUAAUUUAUUAAAUUCGUUUAUUACUUAAAACUAAGUUUUUUUAAAAACAUACUGAGUUAUAAAUAUCAAUGAUGGAUUGGUGAGUAUAACAUGAAGACAAAAAUAUAAAUAUUUUAUUUUCAAGAUAAGAAAUUCAGUUACUCAAUAUAUAAUAUCUUAAAUUAUUUUUUAAAAAUAUACAUAAUUUAUAUAUAUAGAUUAAUCUUCCAAACUUAAACUAUUAUAUUAUAUAUGAAUAAUUUUUUUAAAUAAAAACAAUUUCUGAUUAAAAAAAAUAAAUAAAAACAACAAAUGGUUAAACAUCAAUAUCAUCUAGGUUAAGUAUACGAACAACACAAAUUCAAACAUCACAAAAAAUAUUUACAUAAACAUUAUAAUACAAUAAUUUAAUCAAAAAAUACAAUAAAAAAAAUAAUAUUCAAAAGAAUAGUUAUAUACUUAAAUUUGAAAAUCAAAGAUAUUUUUGCUAAAAUUGUAAUUACCUCGCCAAGAAGAUCGACCAUCUUUUUUACGGAUUGAUCGAUUGUUGAGCAUGUGGUCGAUCCGAAAAUACUCUGCAGUUUAAUUAAAUAUCUAAAACAUUUAUUCCAACACUCAACAGAUAGUUUUGCUAAAUAUGAUAACUAGAUAGCCAAUAAAAUUACAAAAAAUAUUUAAAUAGUAAAAAAUAUGUUAAUUUAACGUGUUAAAAUUUAAACAUAAAUUUUAAUUAUGACAUACAUCUUAACAUUUAUAUAAAUAUAUAUCAUAACCUAAAUAUAAAUAAUUUAACAACUUAAAUUAGAAAAAUAUAAAAAUCCCGGGCGUAGCCCGGGUUAAUCCCUAGUCCUUACUAAUAAAAGGGACCUUUUGAAGCUCCAUAGAGCGUCCACAUCAGCAAAAAAAACUUCUCCCGAAAGAUGACACGUGGCAUAAAAUAUAGUUUUAUAUUUUAAUAUUACUAAUUUUCAAAAAUUAUAAAUAACAUGUAAACAUACAGCAUAAAAAAUAGAAAAACUACAUUAAACAUAUGUAAGACUACCAUUUUUCACUUAAAAAAAGACGGAUUAUCUUCAUAAUGUAACAUUACCGUUUUAUAAAAAAAAACAUUAUAUAUAAUUUCAAAAAUAAUAAAUAUAUGUAAACAUACAACAUAAAAAAUGGAAAUACUACAUUAAACAUAUGUAAGAUUACCAUUUUACAUUUUUAUUUUAAAAAAAUAAUAUGUAAACAUUAAACAUAUGUAAGAUUACCAUCUUUCACUAAAAAAAGACGGCUUAUCUGCAUAAUGUAACAUUACUAUUUUGUAAAAAAAAACAUUAUAUAUAAUUUCGAAAAUAAUAAAUAAUAUGUAAACAUACAUCAUAAAAAAUGGAAAUACUACAUUAAACAUAUGUAUGAUUACCAUUUUACAUUUAAAAAUAAAAAUAAUAUGUAAACAUACAACAUGAAAAAAUGGAAAAACUACAUUAAACAUAUGUAAAAUUACUAUUUUUCACUAAAAAAAAACAGUUUAUCUCCAUAAUGUAACAUUACCAUUUUAUAAAAAAAAACAUAAAUAUAACUAUUUGACUAUUUGUCCAAGUUUUUCUAUAAAACAUUGCCGUUUUACAUUAAAAAUGAAAAAAUACAUUAAGAUUUAAACAUCUAUCUUAAAAUAUAAAAUAUAGAUAUUAAUAAAAUAUAAAGUAUAAGAAAGAGAAAUACAUAAUAUAUAGAAAAAUAAAUAAUAAGUAAAUAUUAUAAAUAUAUAAAUAUACGAAUUAUAUAUACAAUAAUAAGUAAAUGCACAAUUUUAAAAAAAUGGAAAGAGUACAUUAAAUAUUAAACAUCUAUCUUAAAAUGUAAAAUAUAGAUACUAAGUAAAUAGAAAGUAUAAGAAAAAGAAAUACACAACUUAAAAACAAUGGAAAAAAUUAUAUUAAGAUUUAAACAUCUAUCUUAAAAUAUAAAAUAUAGAUAUUACGCAAAUAGAAAAUAUAACAAAAGGAAAUACACAAUUUAAAAAAAAAUAAAAAAAAGUACAUUAGUAUUUAAACAUCUAUCUUAAAAUGUAAAUCUAUCUUAAAAUAUAAAAUUAUUAGUAAAUAGAAAGUAUAAGAAAUAGAAUUACACAAUAUAAAUAAAAAUAAAUAAUAAGUAAAUAUAUAAUAUAAGUAAAUACCCAAUUUAAAAAAUGGAAAAUUACAUUAAGAUUUAAAAAUAUAUCUUAAAAUUUAAAAUAUAGAUAUUACGUAAAUAGAAAGUAUAACAAAUAGAAAUAUACUUUUUUUAAAAAUGGAAAACGUACAUUAAGAUUUUAACAUCUAUCUUUAAAAGUAAAAUAAAGAUAUUAAGUAAAUAAAAAGUACAAGAAAUGGAAAUACAUAUACAGGAAAAUAAAUAAUAAGUAAAUAUUUAAAUCUAUAAUAUAUGAAUUAUAUAUAUAAUAAUAAGUAAAUACAUAAUUUUUCUAAAAAAAACGGAAAAAGUUCAUUAAGCAUUAAACAUCUAUCUUAAAAUGUAAAAUAUAUAAUAUAAGUAAAUACACAAUUUACAAAAAAAGGAAAAAGUACAUUAAGAUUUAAAUAUCUAUUUUAAAAUAUAAAAUAUAGAUAUUACGUAAAUAAAAAAUAUAAGAAAUGGAAAUAAACAUUUAAAAAAAUAGAAAAAAUACAUUAAGAUUUAAACAUCUAUCUUAAAUGUACAUAUAUCUUAAAAUGGUAGUAAAUUAUAUAAAAAUGAAAAUACCACAUUAAACAAAACAAAAAUUAAAAUGUACUCCCUCCGUUUCAAAAUAGAUGAUGUUUUAGAGAGUUUUUGAUGUUUCAAAAUAGAUGAUGUUUUCAUAUUUCAAGGUAUCUUUUAACUUUAUCAAAAACUGUGUAACCAAUUAUAUUUUGUAGUAUGUUUUGUGAUUGGUUGAAUAAUUUUUAAUUUAUAUUUUAGUGAUACUUUUUAGAUAAAAAACAAGUUUUUUAAUAUUUGUGUCCCAACCUAAAACUUCAUGUAUUUUGAAACAGAGGGAGUCAAGAAAGUCCAUAUAAAACUCAUUAUUCCAUCAAUAUCAACCUCACACUAUCAAGGAAAACUUCAAAGCACUCGAGCAAAAAAAUGGUUCUACCAUCAACUAUUGCCGUCUCAAAAACCCUUAAUGACUUUGAAGGAGAUUUUUUAUAACAACGAACUUUUUGUUAGGUGAAUUCAUUGUUGGGAAACCCACAACUUCCAAAAGCCAAACUUAUUCAUGGGAAUUGAAUUGCUUUUCAUAGACUCAAAGGUAUUCUUACAAAUUUAAAUUAAUCUAAUCCAUCAUUUUAUUGUUAAUAUUCAUACUAACUAUUUCAUGAUCAAACUAUUACAGUUAAUAACCAUUCAAGCAUUUAUCCCGAGACACUUCAUUCCACGCCGAAUCAGGUAUUGGUUCAUGUUGGUUUAGUAUUGUUUUUGGUUUAUUAACAGGUUUAGGAUGGUCCUAUUGUAAAUAUAAUUGAAGUUAGUUUAGCAUAUAUUAUGCUUAAAAUAACUUAAAUUAAAUAAUAGUAAUAUUAUGCUUAAAAUAUAAUUUUAGAGAGUUUUCAAAUAUAGUUUAUAUAACAUUAUAGGUGAUGAAUUUAAUUAUUAAAUUCGUUUAUUACUUAAAACUAAGUUAUUUUAAAAACAUACUGAGUUAUAAAUAUCAAUGAUGGAUUGGUGAGUAUAACAUGAAGACAAAAAUAUAAAUAUUUGAUUUUCAAGAUAAGAAAUUCAGCUUUUACUCAGUUACUCAAUAUAUAAUAUCUUAAAUUAUUUUUUUAAAAAAUAUACAUAAUUUAUAUAUAUAGAUUAAUCUUCCAAACUUAAACUAUUAUAUUAUAUAUGAAUAAUGUUUUUAAAUAAAAAUAAUUUCUGAUUUAAAAAAGAAAAUAAAAAACAACAAAUGGUUAUUUUCAAAUAAUGGAUAUAAUUUACAUUAUACUAUCAUUUAACAAGUAUUAGAUACGUUUUGAUAUAUCAUUAUUUUCUAUUUCCAGAAAACAAUAAAUUGUUAAACAUCAAUAUCAUCUAGAUUAAGUAUACGAACAACACAAAUUCAAAUAUCACAAAAAUAUUUACAUAAACAUUAUAAUACAAUAAUUUGAUCAAAAAAUACAAUUAAAACAAUAUUUAAAAUAAUAGUUAUAUACUUAAUAUCUGAAAAUCAAAGAUAUUUUUGCUAAAAUUGUACUUACCUGGCCAAGGAGAUCGACCAUCUUUUUACGGAUCGAUUGAUUGUUGAGCAUGUGGUCGAUCCGAAAAUACUCUACAGUUUAAUUUAAUAUCUAAAACAUUUAUGUUAACACUCAAGAGAUAGUUUUGCUAAAUAUGAUAAUUAGAUAGCCAACAAAAUUACAAAAAAUAUUUAAAUAGUAAAAAAUAUGUUAAUUUAAAAUGUUAAAAUUUAAAAAUAAAUUUUAAUUAUGACAUGCAUCUUAACAUUUAUAUAAAUAUAUAUCAUAACCUAAAUAUAAAUAAAUUAACAACUUAAAUUAGAAAAAAAUAAAAAUCCCGGGCGUAGCCCGGGUUAAUCCCUAGUCUAUACUAUAUAAAAGUUGAGGCUAUAAGCCAUUGAGAGCGUCCACGUAGGAUGUUAAACGACCAAUCGUAAUAUGACAAAUCAUUAUUUUAGUUUACUAUUUUGAAAAAUGUUAAUGUUACAAAAAAAUAAUCAUUUAUUUCAAACUAAAAUAUAAAUCGAUAUCACAUAAGGUAAAUUUACAAAAUUAUAAAUACUAUAUUAAUUUAACUUAAUGUUUAACAUUUUUCAAAAAUAAAAAAGAAAUAACCAAAAUAAUAUUUAAUUUAAAAUAUAUACUCAUGAUUCAAAUUUAAAUAACUAUAUAAAUCUAAAUUUAAACUCAUGAUUUUCAAAAUUUAGGUUAUAUACUAUUGAAAAUAUUCAAAAAUAACAUAUAAUAUAUAUAAUUUGAUAUUAUUAAUCAUUCAGAAUGUUCACAUAUUAUUUUAAAGCACCAAAACAUAUACCAAUUGUCUUUUUUUGGUAUUUCUAAAAGUGUUUAUAUUACGAAAUUUUUUAUUUCAAAAUAAAAUAUAAAUAAGUAUCAAAUAAAUUAAACUUACAAAAUUUAAAACACCAUGUACAAAUCUAUACUAUAUAAAAUAAAGUUUCGAAAACUAACAUAAAAAUAACAAACAAAUAUAAUAGUUAAUUUAAAAAUGCAAUACUUUCAAACAAUUAUAUCUAUAUAAAUCUACAACACACUAUUUACAAAAUUUAGGUUAUAUAAUAUUCAACCAAAAUAUGUACUAUAUGUAAUUUGAUGCAUUAAAUCAUUGAAAAUAUCCACAUAUUAUUUUAAAGCACCAAAAUAUGUCAAAUUACCAUUUUAAUUAUCAUUUUAAAAUUUCAAGAUUUUCAAAAAAAUGUUUAUUUCAAAAUAAAAAGGAAACUACUAUUUAAUUUAUUGAAAAAUGCAAAAUUAUUAAAGGAAUCAAUUUGGUAUAUAAACUAAAUCUUUGAAAGACCAACAUAAAAUUAACUAAAAAGAAUCUUAAAAUAUAAGAAUUUCAAAUAAUAAAAACAGUGUGAAUCUAAAGCACUUUCCGUUAGAUAUAAAUCUAACAAAAUAUGAUUUCAAAAUGGAAGCUAUUUCUUUCAAAAUAAUAUCAUUAAUAAAUUUAGUAAACAAAAAUUCCAAAUAACUAAAAGAAUCAGUUUAUUAUAAAAAUUAAAUCUUUAGAAGAUCAACAUAAAAUUAAGUAACAAAAAUAAUCUUAAAAAUAUAAGGAUUUCAAAUAAUAAAGACAAUAUAAAUCUAAAGCACUAUUUCAUUACAUAUGAAUCUAUAACAUAUGAUUUCAAAAUUUAGGAUAUAUAUAGUGUUCACAUAGAAUUUAAAAAUAUCAUUAUAAUAAUAUAAAAAAUCAGCAUUUUAAUUUGAUAAAGUAAGUAAAGAUAUUAUUUUAUUAAAAAUAAUUAACUUGAUAUAUAAAAUAAAUUUAUAAUUGACAUUAAACAGAAAAUAACAAAAAUAAAAAUAUUUCAAAAAGAAAUAAAGUUAAAAAACAAAUUAUUUAUAAAUAAUCACGUAAGUAAAAAUAAAUAAAAAUCAACAAAAACUAUAAAAAGAUAAAUUAAAAUUUGUAAAAAAUAUCUUUAAAGUUAGACUGAUAUUUAUGCUAAUUAUUGAAAACUAACAUAAUAAGAUAUUGACAAGAAAAAAUCUAAUUAUGUCUGUAACCUUUAAUACGAUAUGGACUACAUCCUUUAAAAAUCAGAAAUAACUUAGAAUAUCAAUAAUAAUAUUUAAAGUCAGCAUAAUAAGCUAAUAUUUUAAUAAACCUUAAAUUUUAUUAAAAAAUAAAGCAAAACUAAAAAAAAUUCUUACUUGAUAUAUAUGCUAACUCUUCAUUAAUUAACGUCAAAAUUAUAAAAUUAUGUUUUAAAGUAUGUCAGAACAUACAAAUAGCUUAUAAAUCAAAUUAAAAUAAAUACUUAAUAUCAUAGUACUUAAUAUGAGCUAAUAAAUAUAAAAGGUAAACUGAAAUUUAGUAUUUGUUUUUUAUUUAUAUUGGUCUCAGCUAUAAAAUAUUGUAAAUUUAUAAUAUGUCAUAUGAGUUUCUUAGAAAAAUAAUGGUUGAUUGUGAUUCUUUUUUUUACCGAGCCAAUUUAUUAUUUAGUUUACAAUAAGUUACAAAGCUCUGUAAGAAAUAAGUGAUUGUAACAAUAAUUUACAUAUGUAAAAAAUAUAUUGUUAAACAAGUUGUCUAUUUAUGUUUUUUAAAAUCAUUUACCUAUGUGUUCUCAAGCUGUUUUUAUCAAUAAAUGAAUAAACAUAGUUAUAUAGUAAUCAAAAAUUUAAAUUUAAUAAAUUUUGACAUAUAUGUUUAUAAGAAAAUCAUUAUCAAAAUAUUCAUUAAACUAAUCAAAUAUGUUUUUAAGAAAAACUCUAAAUAUUUUGUAAUCAAUAAGCUUUUUUGAAUAUGGUCAUUAAAAAUUAUGCAAACUAUAUGGUGACUUUUCAUAAGUCUUUAGUGAAAUUCACCGAUAAAAUUUAUAGGACAUAUGCUUAUAAAAAUUUAUUAAAGAAAUUAACAUAACAUAUAAAAUUAAAAAUGAUCUCACCAAAUUCUAUCAAUGAAAGAUAUUUGAAACAAAAUGUUAUUAAAACAUACGACAACAUAAAAUAAUCAAAGAGGCUAAAAAUUAAAGUAUAUUAGUUGAAAAUUCUAAUAAUAUUUACAAAUAAUAUUGACAUUAGAGUAUAGUCUCAGGCUCUCAGUGACAACAGAAAAUAAAGAUAUAAAAAAUAUUCAUUAUAUAUUCGUCAGUUGGAAAAUAUAAUAUAUAAGUUUAUGAAAUAUGAUGUGAACUAAUAAAACAUCAUAAUCACGCCAUUAAUUAAUAUUGUAACUAGAUCAAGUAGAAGAUGUAUAUAAUAUUUUUUAGUUAUAUAUGUUUAUUUUAAUAAAUUAAAUAUUAUUUAACAUUAGUUUAAAGUUGUACAUAUUUAUUUCUCUUUUUGUUAUAUCUAAAAUAAUAUUACUAUUUAAAUUUCAUUAAAAUAUUUAUUAUUAUUUAACUCUAAAUAUAAUACUAAUAAAUAUGCAUUUAAGCCACUUUAAGAUGAUUAUUUCAAAUACAGAUAUUCACAAAAAUAUAUAAUAAAUAUACUUUCAUUGUAAAAAUUUGGUUAAUACAAAGUAAAGCUAGAUAUUAUGCAUAUACAUUAAGUUCUUAUGUUUUUCAAAUAGAAAGACAGAUGAAAAUAUUAUAAUAAAAAUAAUUAUAACAGUGUAUUAUUUUUUAAUAAGAAUAAAAUGAUCAAUAUAUAUUUUUAAAAUAAUAUUAAUAAACAAUAUAUAAAAAAAGAUUAAUGAACAAUAUAAACAUGUUUAUAAAUACACUUACACAUUUACAUAUACAAAAAAAGAUAUCUAAAUAGAAAAAAUAAUAAAGCAUACUUCGAAUAAAACUUCAUAUAAAAAUGCAUAUAAACCAAUUAUAGUUCAUUAUCUUAAAAUUAGUAUAAAAUGAUACAAAUUAUUAAAAUAAACUCGCGCGUAGCGCGAGUCAAAAAUCUAGUUAUUAUAUAAUAGGAGUGGUCAUAUAAUAUAACAAAAACAAAACAGCGUUAACAUAAAUUCUUUCAAUAAAAAAAAAUUAACAAAAAUAUAUAACUAAAACAUAUUUCUAUUCUAAAAAUAAUGUAUAACAAAAAAAAUUCAAAAUAACACUAACGAAAAGGUUUCGAAAUUUUAUUUUUGUAUUUAAGUUUGAAUUUAGUCAUUAAAGUUUAAACUUUAUACUUUAGAAUUUAGUAAUUAGGAGAUGAAAAUUAGGAUAAACAUUUAAAUUUUGGUGUAAUUUUAUCAUUUUACAUAUUAAUUAAUUUUGUUAUAUAAUUUGGAGAUUUUCAACACAAUGAUCAAAUUUUACAUUAAAAUUUUGGACUUUUCAAGAUUAUAAAGCAUAUUCAAUACAAUUCUAUUUUUGUCAUAUUUUAUUUACGAAAUUUCCCCAAAAGUAUAUUGUAAUGUAUUUUUAAAUACCCUAACAAUAAAUAUAAACUAAUUGCCUUUGUAAAGUAUCGUUGUUUGAAAUGAUUUUGCACCAUUCCAUAGAAUGGUGACAUCAGAUUGCUAUGAAUCCCCGAGAAAUGCAUAUAAUCCCCCUAUAUAUUAAAUAAGAAGUCACUAUUUCCGAUGACGUGUCGUUCAUAGGUAAAAUUUCAAGAAAUUGUUAUAAUUUGAUUGGUCGAUUGUUUUAAUUUUUAUUUAUUUAAAUUAGAUCUAAAAAUUUAAAGCAAGUCUAAAAACAUUUAACAUCACUUGCCAUAUAAUCUAAAGAAUAUUACAAAUAACAAUUUAUGGCAAAUAAUUCUCGAAAAUAUAGAAAGAUUAAUAAUUUUUUAUUUAUUACUUUUAAUAAUUAUAAACUAUAAAAUAUAAUGAACGAAUUUUUAUAUAAGAUAAUUAUAAUAGUUUUAUACUCUACUUGAUGAAUUGUAUUCAAAUAUAAUUAUAUAAUAACUAUUUUAAAUAUUACAAAAUCCAAACAUGUUUAUUUAUAUGAUUUUUAAAUUAUUUAUCGUUGUUUACAGAAUAAAUUUACCAGAAUUUUAAAAUUAUUUAUAUAAUGUUUUAAAUUAUUUAUAAAAAUAUAAAUCCUACUAUAUAUUGAUUGAAAAGUCACAUAAGUGAUUUUUUAUUACGUGUUGAUCAUUUAUAGAAGCUUAUACAUUAAUUUUUCAAAUGUAUUUUGAAAAUUUAUCCUUCUAUUACAAUAUUUUGAAUUUUUUCAUUUUUAAUGGUAAAAUUCUUCAACUAUGUUUACUUAGUGUAGAAACUCCUAAACUAAAGAUUUACUGGUAGUAAUGGUAAUUAUGACCUGUUAGAGUUUAAUUCAUUAAAUAAAUUUAGUUUAGGCGGUUUUUCGUUAAAUACUUAGUUUGAGGGUUUUUACCCAAAACAAACUUAGUUGAGGGGUUUUAACUUUAAAAAUUAUUAUUCUUUCCUUAUUAUAUAUUAUUUAAAUCCUUAUAGUGGAAUUUGUUUUAUCAAAAAUCAGUUGCAAUCAACUGACGAGAUAUCUUCUUUCCAAAUAUCAUAAAUUUAAUAUUUAAAUAUAUAUAUAUAUAUCAAAAUUUGAGUUACCAAAAUUAUGUAUAUAUUAUAACUAGAAUAUCUGUAAAAUUUUAUUAAAAAAUAUUCUAUCUCAUAGCUGAAUUAAAAUUUAUUAGAGGAUAUUAUAUCUCAUAGCUUCUCUUGAAAGCUAGGUCAUUUAGAAACUUAAACUAAUUUGAUAUAUAAAUAUCACGCCACUCCUAUUAGUGAUGUUAGGAGUUUUCAAGGCUCCUAAGACAAAUGUUGUAGUAUAAAAGAUUGUCGAACCAGUUCUGAGGGAUAUCAAAGCACUGAGAAUGCAAGUACUCACUUAAUCUAAGUGCAACCAAUGAUUUAGAUGGGUUUUAAGCUAUGACUAAACUAAAAAGCAAUAACAGAAUGAUACUUUCUUGACUAAGGGAAAAGAGAAUUCAUGGGCAUAGGGAUUAGACCUUGGGUGAUCAAGUAUCGAACUAAGGAUGGCAAAUGAUCAAUCAAACUAUCAACCUUAAGCCUAGACACAAUUCUAAGCAAGCUCUAUGUCUAGAUGAAUGCUCAUUUGCUAACACAUCUCAAACAUCAAAUGUCUUUGGUUGAAUAAUAUGAAAGCAAUCAUUACUAACAAGUCUAUUAGCUAUCUUAGCACCUUUAACAACAAAUAUCUUUGGCAAAGUAUACUAAAAGCCUAGGAGAGUUGUCUCGGGCAUUUCAUCGAACACCUUUCGGGUGAGAAAUGCCUAAGGAUCAACAACUGAGUGGCCAACUCAGAAGAUGCAUUAUGAUUACUCUACUAGCAAGGAAAUAUGAAUGAUCUACACUAAAACAUCCUAGCUCUAACCUAAUCACCCUUAAUCUCCCUAACCCAUGAAUUCCAAAGGUGAUUACUCACUAAUCUCCAUGAUUCCUCUUAAACCCAUAUUGGAUUUCAGAUUAAUCAUGUAGAGAAACACAGGAAAUAGAUAAGAACACAUAAUUCUCAAUAAUAAACUGAUCAAUUCAUUCAAAGAGAUCCCUUUCCAAAGGUUUUUGGUGGUUUUUUCUAAGAAACAAGAUGAUGUGCCUCCUGGUGGCUUACAGAGUAAUAAAACAUAGGUUUAGAAAAUAAAAACGUGCAUAAUGAAAUGACCAAAAUGCCCUUGAGAAAUCACAAGUUCGAGCAGAAACAAAACACGGAGCGACCUCAGCCCGUCGCUCCGACAAGUCGCUCCAGGCUUCGGGAGCGACCUCGCUGUGUCGCUGCGAGAGGUCGCUCCGGGCUCGUUCUCGCGUCUCCGGGUGAUGAAAACGCGAGCGACUUCUCCCUGUCGCUCUGGUAUGGUCGCUCUGAGCUUCGGGAGCGACUUCAGCACGUCGCUCUGGAAGGUCGCUCCGAGGUGUAAAUGUGUGUCUCCAGACGUGAAAACGCGAGCGACCUUGUGCAGUCGCUCUGGAUGAGUCGCUCCGGGAUGUGGUGCACAGCGACCUCAUGCCGUCGCUCCGAGAGGUCGCUCCGGCUGUGCUCGUCCAAAGAUCACUCUUUUCACCUCUUUUGAGCUCCAAAUAACCUUAUGUGGUACUCCAGUACCUAAUAGAGACUCAUGUAUGCAAAAUGCAACCUAAACAUGUCUGAAUCCUAAUCUAUAUGAUGAAAAUGCUCAUGGAUGAAUGGAUAAAACAAUGCAAAUAUGCAAGAUAUCAACUCCCCCAAACUUGUUCUUUUACUUGUCCACAAGUGAACUUUCUAGAACUCAUAGGAAGAGAGGUUGAAGGUGGGAGCACAUAGCCAAAAGAAACACAACUAGCACACUCUCUUAUUACACUCUAGCUUCUCUAGGCCUAUCUUAACUCUUUUUGUUCUUACACUCAUCAUCAAGCAUCCACACAUUCAAAUCAACCAACUCUCACAUUCAUUAAGCACAAAACAUCAGGUGAAUUCUUGCAAAUGGUCAGUUGGUCCAAGUCAUUUGGUUGGGUAAGGGAAGGCUUUUUUCAAGUGAUUCAAGAGGUUCAAAACAUAUGAUCUUUAAGGUGGUUUACUCUCAAAACAAGUAGCCUUGACAUUGCACAUAAUAUAUCUAAGAAAGGGACCAACUCAUGCAUACAAUGCUCAAUCUCCAUUGUUCUACCCUUUUCCCAAACAUAUCAUUACACAAUCAUUCCCAAAUGUCAAACCCAACUCACAUCUCUCACCAAAAGAUCUUAAGAACUUUAACUCUUUCUUUUUGAAAUCUACAAGGGAUUUUUCUACAACCUCAAAACAUUUCUUAGCUCCUAACAACUUUGCUAGCCCCCCUUUUUCUUUUCUUUUUUCUUUUUUUUUUUCUUUUCUCUUUUUUCAUUUCUCCCAAAUCAUAAUCACAACACUCACCCCCACCUAUAGCUAGACAAUAGAGUGUCCAAUCUAACAAGAAUGAAGAUCAAGCAUUGUCGUUCCCGAUACUCUCAACAUUAUGCACAUGUAAGACUUUCCGAAAAAGGCCUCACUCAUCAAACAAUGAAAGCUUAAAAGGAGGAAAAAGUUUUGGGAGUGGUCUACCACUAGAGUUUGUCAAAAAAAGAUUGGUAUAAAAGAUGUGACAACUCAAGUGUGUAUAGCCAUGACUCAGUACACAAGGGACCAUGAGCAAGAAGCAUUAAGUUCGUUCAGUUCAAAUUAGGUUGUAGUUGGCUUCAAAGACUGAGUUUCAGCAAUCAACAAGUUUCAGGAAGAGUUUUCAAGGCUCGAAACAUACAAGUCUUUUUGAGAGGUGCAAAAGCUAGUCAAGUGCAACGUAGUGUUCUUUACAAGGCAUUCAAAAUCAUUGCUCCCAAUGCAAGUGAAUGCAACCUAUAUGCUCUAGACUCUCCUAAAAAUGCAAAUGAUGCAAACUAAAUGAUUGAUUUUUUUUUUUUAUCUAUGCAAAUAGGUAUGCCAUGCAUGACUCAAUGAAACAACAUCAAAGCAAACAUGAUCAAAUACUUGGUACCUCCCCCAAACUUGAGUUACACAGUCUCUGUGUCGUCAAGUAGAGAGAGAUACCGAAAAGAAGACUAAUAUGCAAAAAUGAAAUGGUAUAUACAAGGGAGUGUGGUGGGUUACCUUCUAUAGGGAAUGAGUAGAGGGAGAUGCUCCCUCCUCGUCGUCCUCAGGUGGUAACUCUUCAAGGUGCUCAUCAGCAGGGGUGUCCAUCUCUUCAAUGUAGAAGGCUUGCCCGAACACAGUUGGUUUCCUCAUUUUCCUCUUGAUGUCAAAGUGGAGGAUGUUCUCUUUACCCAAAUGGAGAUCAAUCGUGCCUUCCUUCACAUUAACAAUAGCUCCUGCUGUAGCUAAGAAUGGCCUUCCUAGAAUCAAUGGAUCUUGAGCCUCCUCACCCAUCUCAAGCACCACAAAAUCUGUAGGUAUCUCAUACCUUCCAAUCUUCACAGGGAGGUCCUCUAAGAUGCCCACAGGGUACUUCACUGAACGAUCAGCUAACACCAGAGAGAGUCUACACUUCUUGUACUGAGUGAAUCCAAGCUUCUUUGCAACAGACAAAGGCAUCAAGCUGACACUAGCUCCCAAAUCGCAGAGACUUUUCUCAAAUACCAUAGGUCCAAGAGCACAAGGUAGUGUGAAGCUUCCUGGAUCCUCUAAUUUCUCUGGAACAUCAAGCCUCUGGAUGAUGGCAUUGCACUCAUGGGUAAGAUUCAUCAUGCUUUCCAUCUCCUUCUUCUUUGCAGCUACAACAUCUUUCAGGAAAUUGUUGUAUUGAGGAAUCAACAUGAAAGCAUCGAUGAUGGGCAUUGCAACCUGAGCUUCACUCAUUUGCUUCUCAAACAGAGCUUUGUAUUUCUCUAGCAGCUGCUUCUUGAAUCUACCAGGGAAUGGAAGUUUGGGUUCAUAGGGAGGAGGAACAAAAGAACUUUCACUUGCUGGAGUAACAACUUCACCAUCCUUUACUGUCUUCUUCUCCUCUCCAACCUUUCCUUUACCUUUGGCUUCCACUAUCUUCUCCAAGAUCUCGUCAUUGAUCUUCUCAUCAACAAUCACCACUUCAUCAUCUAUGUUGAUGGCAACCCCCUCACCUAAUUUCUCAGCAUCCUUGGUGAGGGUUCUAGGAGGUAACUGCUUACCGCUCCUAAGGGUGAUAGCUUUGGCCUCCUUGGGAUUUUGGUCAGACUUUCCAGGUAGAGAUCCUUGCUGGCGAUUCUGGUGAGUGUUCAUGGAAGCAAAUUGAUUCUCUAAAUUCCUGACUGUAGAAGCAAGGUGUGAGAAUUUGUUGUUGAGCUCAUUGUAGCUCCCAUCAAUCUUGGAAUGAAGGUUCUUCAACUCAUAACCAACUUGCUUCUCACUUCUAGUCUGAGACUCCAAGAUUUGCUUCAGUAAGGUAUCAGUGCUGCUCUCUUGAGGAGCAGAGGAACCAGACGAGGGGUUUUGCUGAGGCUGAUAGCUGCCUUGCUGGUUGUUUCUUUGCGGAUAGCCACUCUGCUGGUUGUUGGAAUAGGACUUCUGUUGGUAGUUGUGGUACUGAAAGUUGGGUUCUUUCUUGUACCAGCUACCAUUGUUGUUGAUGAAACACAGCUCUUCCUGACCUUCCAAACCCUCAACUUCAUGGACAAUAGCUGGUGUCUCUUGGCUUGGGUUGCCGACAAAGUGCAGCUGCUCUUGGGUAGCUUUAUCAGCAAGGAGGAUGUCUAUCUUAUCCUGUAGAGCUUUCAACUCCUUCCUCGUUUGCUUAUCCUCAGUUCUACUGCUUCUGUCGUGGUCUCCACUGUAGACUGCAUCACUCUUUACCAUGUUGUCAACCAGUUCUUCUGCAUCCUCCUCAGUUCUCCCCAAGAAGAACCCAUUGCUAGCUGUAUCCAGUCUGGCUCUGUACUUAGGAAGAGCACCACGGUAGAAUGUGCUCAGCAAGCUCUCCUUAGAAAAGCCAUGGUGUGGGCAUUGAGCUUGGUAGCCCUUGAAUCUCUCCCAGGCUUCACUGAAGCCUUCCAAGUUCUUCUGUUGAAAGCUGGAAAUCUCGUUUCUCAGCUUAGCAGUUCUUGAAGUAGAGAAGAACUUCUCCAAGAAUGCUUUCUUGCAGUCAUCCCAAGUAGUGAUGGAGUCACUGGGUAGAGACUUCUCCCACUGACGUGCCUUAUCCCCCAAAGAGAAAGGGAAUAGCUUGAGCUUUAAGGCAUCUUCGGACACACCAUUGGUUUUUGACAACCCACAGUAGCUGUCGAACCUGUCCAAGUGAUCAAAUGGAUCCUCUAGAGCCAAGCCAUGAUACUUGUUGUUCUCGAUCACGUUGAGGAGUCCUGAUUUGAUCUCAAAGUUGUUGGCUGCCACAGCGGGUGCUCGGAUUCCCAAUCUAUGACCAUGAAUGUUGGGGCGGUCGUAAGUGCCAAUGGGUCGAGCUGCUCGCUGUUGGUUUUGAGGUAUGUCUCCCAUAUCAGUACUCAAUCUCUGCAAGUGAGCCUGUUGCUCUUCUUCUCUUCUAUUUCUAGCACACUCUCUCUCUAAAGCUCUGAUGUCUGCAGCUAUUGGAACUAGGUUUGAUGGACCCCUGCUCCUCAAGUUCAUACACCUGUAGAUUAAAGGGAGGUGAAGAAAGAGAAUCAGUAACAAAAGAAAAUAAAAAUGACUUAGUCUCAAGCAAGUGACUAAAUCUCAAUGUUCAAAUCUACUCAGAAUUUGGCAACGGCGCCAAUUUGAUGUUAGGAGUUUUCAAGGCUCCUAAGACAAAUGUUGUAGUAUAGAAGAUUGUCGAACCAGUUCUGAGGGAUAUCAAAGCACUGAGAAUGCAAGUACUCACUUAAUCUAAGUGCAACCAAUGAUUUAGAUGGGUUUUAAGCUAUGACUAAACUAAAAAGCAAUAACAGAAUGAUACUUUCUUGACUAAGGGAAAAGAGAAUUCAUGGGCAUAGGGAUUAGACCUUGGGUGAUCAAGUAUCGAACUAAGGAUGGCAAAUGAUCAAUCAAACUAUCAACCUUAAGCCUAGACACAAUUCUAAGCAAGCUCUAUGUCUAGAUGAAUGCUCAUUUGCUAACACAUCUCAAACAUCAAAUGUCUUUGGUUGAAUAAUAUGAAAGCAAUCAUUACUAACAAGUCUAUUAGCUAUCUUAGCACCUUUAACAACAAAUAUCUUUGGCAAAGUAUACUAAAAGCCUAGGAGAGUUGUCUCGGGCAUUUCAUCGAACACCUUUCGGGUGAGAAAUGCCUAAGGAUCAACAACUGAGUGGCCAACUCAGAAGAUGCAUUAUGAUUACUCUACUAGCAAGGAAAUAUGAAUGAUCUACACUAAAACAUCCUAGCUCUAACCUAAUCACCCUUAAUCUCCCUAACCCAUGAAUUCCAAAGGUGAUUACUCACUAAUCUCCAUGAUUCCUCUUAAACCCAUAUUGGAUUUCAGAUUAAUCAUGUAGAGAAACACAGGAAAUAGAUAAGAACACAGAAUUCUCAAUAAUAAACUGAUCAAUUCAUUCAAAGAGAUCCCUUUCCAAAGGUUUUUGGUGGUUUUUUCUAAGAAACAAGAUGAUGUGCCUCCUGGUGGCUUACAGAGUAAUAAAACAUAGGUUUAGAAAAUAAAAACGUGCAUAAUGAAAUGACCAAAAUGCCCUUGAGAAAUCACAAGUUCGAGCAGAAACAAAACACGGAGCGACCUCAGCCCGUCGCUCCGACAAGUCGCUCCAGGCUUCGGGAGCGACCUCGCUGUGUCGCUGCGAGAGGUCGCUCCGGGCUCGUUCUCGCGUCUCCGGGUGAUGAAAACGCGAGCGACUUCUCCCUGUCGCUCUGGUAUGGUCGCUCUGAGCUUCGGGAGCGACUUCAGCACGUCGCUCUGGAAGGUCGCUCCGAGGUGUAAAUGUGUGUCUCCAGACGUGAAAACGCGAGCGACCUUGUGCAGUCGCUCUGGAUGAGUCGCUCCGGGAUGUGGUGCACAGCGACCUCAUGCCGUCGCUCCGAGAGGUCGCUCCGGCUGUGCUCGUCCAAAGAUCACUCUUUUCACCUCUUUUGAGCUCCAAAUAACCUUAUGUGGUACUCCAGUACCUAAUAGAGACUCAUGUAUGCAAAAUGCAACCUAAACAUGUCUGAAUCCUAAUCUAUAUGAUGAAAAUGCUCAUGGAUGAAUGGAUAAAACAAUGCAAAUAUGCAAGAUAUCAAUUAGUUUCAUGCAUCUAUCUUUUAAGUUUUCAUAUGUUUUUGAUCGUUUUAAUUUAAAUUCUACUUUUGUGAUCUUGCGCAGGUGUAUGAUAAUCAAUAAGUAACUCAUAGACGGGAACACCACUACUGGUAAUUUUAUGGGGGAUUCUUCUUCUCCGUUUAUUUUUGUUCUCUUUCUCUCCAUGUUGUAUCUCUAUCUACAUUUUUGUAUCAGUAGUGAUUCAACUAACAAAAAGAGACGACUUUGUGUAUCCAGAAACUGAUCAUCCAUUUCGAAAAAAGUAUUCUUUUUUUAUAAAGUUAAAUCACUUAUCAAAAAUAUAAUAUAAGAUGUGUAUGCUAAUCAAGUGCAAUUUAUUUAUUGUGCGUGAUCCUCUUCAGAUAUGUCUGAGAGCCAAAAGUAAUCUCAAAACUUUUCAAAAACUUUGAAACUCACUAUAAGGAUGCAAGCAGAUCACCUAGAGUUAAGAUCAUAUGCAUAUUAACCACAUACAUGUAACAUAAGUAUUAUAUAGUUGUAAAUAUAUAAUUAUCAAUUUAAUAUUAAUGUUAACACCAGCACAUGCGUGCGGACGGUCCACCUAGUUCGUAAAUAAAUAGAUAGACGUAAAUAUAGAUAUUGUACUUGACAUAGAUAUUGAAGGUUACUAUAGACCACUUUAAAUCCUGAAUAUAAAACUGGAAAGGAUUUAGCAUAUCCUCGGUUCAGUUAUUAAUCCUCAUAUUAAAAUAGAUAUAUGUUUAUGUAUAUUAAUAAAUAUAUUUAUAAAUUAAAUUCUUUAUGUUUUAAUAAGAUAGGUAGAUAUGUAUUUAAGUUUUUAUAUGCUAGAUAAAUUCCACUUCUAUAUGUAUUUUUGAGAAUGUUAAAAUGAAACUUAUUUGUUGUAUUCUUAUAAUUCCAAUAUAUUUGUAAAAUAUAUUAAUCAUCACAUUAUUUAACAUAUAUUUAAAAAUAAUAUACGUGAAUAUAUAACAUCUCAAGUUUGUAGUCAAAUUUUAAAUAAAUUUGUUUAUGCUAAAUUUGGUUAGAGAAUAAUCUAGUUAUAAAAUAACCCUAAGUUUGGUAUAUCUGCUUAGAGAAAAAUCUAACAAAAUAAAUGAUUUGUGGUUAAUUAAUUAAAUUUAAUAAGCUUGGAUAGAGAAAAAUCUAACAAAAUAAAUUAUUAGUGCUUAAUUAAUUAAUUUCCUAUAUAUUAAUUGAAAAAAUAUUACAACUUAUUUUGUAGCACAUGAUCAAUAGGAUGAUUUUUAAAAUCAUUAGAAAAAUAUUUGUGUCCAUUUAAUUAUAUAAUAAGUUUUUUUAUUAAACAAACCAUAUAUUCACUAUUAAUAUUAUUAAUUAUUUUCAUAAAUAAUAGUUUUGAAAUUGUCUAAUGUGGCUAAACUAUAUAUGACAAUUAAUGAUUUUUGAAUAAUAAAGAUUUGAUGAAAAUUAGUGUAUCGUCUAUCAUAUUUUUUUUAUUUUAAAAAAUUAAAAUAAAUUAAACAACCACAAUAAUCAUCAUAGGGGAAAUUUCAUAUUUACCAUUUUCAUGGUACCACUUUUCAUCUUUGCCACCACUAAAGAGACAUUUUCAAAAAUACAUUCUUCAUUAAGUGACAAAAGACUCUUAUACACUUGUUCUCUAUAUAUAUAUAUAAUAAAUCAUUAUUUAAAUAAAUAUAAAAAUAAAAAACAACAACUUUUUUUAAUGUUUUCGAAUUAUACUUUUGAUAUUUGAAAUUUUUAUAAAACCUUUUUUGAGUUUUUUUUACGAAUUGUUUUUAUUUUUUUCAAAUUAUCUUUUUGAAAAUCAAAAAUUAUGUUUGAAACUAUUUUUUAUAUUUUGUAAGUAUUUAUUUAUAUAUUUAUUAGAAUCCUAAAUUUCAUAUUCCAAAAACCCUACUUCACAUCUUAACUCUAAACAAUAAGUCUAGAUUAGUUAAUCCUAAAGAUAUAAGUGUCUUCUACCAUUCAUUAAAAGUGAAGAAAAAAGUGAUUAGUGUAGACAUGAAAGUGUUACUAUGAAUGUGAUAUUUGUGGUAAUUUCUCAUAAUCAUAUAAUAAGAAAUUAGAUUUUUUCUGUAUAUGUUAUAUUUUUGAUUUUUUUUAAAUGACUAUAAAUUACUAAAAAUGUUAAAAGUCACACAUUCAAAUUUUGUGAUCCAUGGUUUAAAAAAUUUGUUAUGAAAAAAUACAAAUGAUUACAAAAUUAUAUAUGUAAAAAUUCCAAUUUAGUUAAUUUUUAAGAUUAAUAUAUAUAUAUAUAUAUAUAUAUAUAUAUAUAUAUAUAUAUAUAUAUAUCAUUUUAAAUUAAACUAUAACCCAUAUACAAUAUAUAAACAUUUUAGCAUCAAAAUUUACUUUGAAAUUGUUUUUUGAUAAAAGCUUUGGACGAACAUUGACAACUUAAUUUAAAAAAAUAUAUAUAAAUUACUAAAACUACCAUUCCCACAAUAAAACUUUGUUAUUAGUAUAAUUAAGUUUUUCCUAUUCAAGAUACAUAUGAUAAAAAAAAUUCCAUUUAAAAGACAUUUAUAUUAAAAAUAUAGUAUGUAUGUUAAUAUCAUUUAAAUGUAAUUACAUAUCAUAUCAAAUAGAAAAAAUAUAUUGUUUGGAUUAAUAAAAUUGAUUUAUAUGUUUGCACCAAUUUAAUUAUAUAUGUAACAACCACGAAUUAAGCUAGAAUACAAUAGAGAACAAAACGUAUUGAGGCAAGAUCCGUUUAGAGUUUCUUAUUAUUGUGUGAAUAAUAAUCUUACAAACCCUUAGACUCAUAUUUAUAACAGCCCCAAAAACCCGAUUUCCUUUAUCCUUUAGGAAUACAUACUUAUCUAAAAAAAGUAAAAUUUUCUAAACCUAAAAGGCACCCCCUAGAUAUCAACCUUGAUAGCGAUUUAUCUUCCUUGCGCCUACGACGCCCGCAUUCGAUCCGACCCACAGAGAUUUAAGACACACAGAUGCAACAAACACCACCUUGACGAAAAAUCUCUACAAAACUCUCUAUCCCGUCUAUCUUCUGAGGGGAACCUCCUUUGUUUCUCAGCAUUGGCAAACACGGUACAGAUCCAAGCAAUGCUUGAACUUCUCCGUUGUACCAGGCUUGGUCAACACGUCGGCAGGAUUCUCUGAUGUAUGCAUCUUUUCCAAUAAGACUUCUCCAGAAGCUGCCAACUCCCUUAUCUUGUGAAACCUUAUACGAAUGUGCUUCGUCCUCCCAUGAUACAUUUGAUUUUUAGCCAAACAUAAUGCACUUUGACUAUCACAGUGUAGCUGAACACCUUCUUGAUC
rnacentral:lncRNA from 1 species